rnacentral:lncRNA from 1 species
CAGACAGACAGUUCUCACAUGCAUACACAAACACACGAAAACGCAGAGCCCACAGCAAGAACAGGUGCAGAUUAAUUCCAACGAAUUCCCCGGCAGAAAUCCACCUGGGCUAGCUAGCCCUGACCGAAUAUCAGAAUAAGGGUAAACCAUAAACAGAAUUAUGACAAUAGGAAAAUGAAUCGACGAUUCAAGAAACUAUGGAUGAGUAGAAAAGCACUAGCCUCAGAUGCAUACGCUACACAGCAAACACACGAAAACGUAGAGCUCACUGAAAGAGCAGAUGCAGAUUAAUUCCAACGAAUAGCCCUGACUGAAUACCAGAAUAACAGAGAAGGUAAACCAUAAACCAAACGACAGCAUAGGAAAAGGAACUGUGAAUUAAGAACCGAACCUUGCCUGAUCUGGUUUCCUUCUAUUGUAUACACGCAGGUAUAAGUUUUCGGCGCAAACAAGCGCCAAUGUGGGGUAAAUAUUCAUCCAUCAGGAAACAGAAAAAACUAUCUCUCAGACCAUUUGUAAACCCCUCCUCUACUUCCACUUAUCUCGCGAUGAAUAAAGCUGUAGGAACUUGCUAAGAGCUGACGGUGGAAACCAUUUCGUAUUCGCUCGACGGCUUCCGUCUCUUGGAGCGGAGGAACAAGGCGCCCCCAAGCCACUGCUGAAAGAAAAGGAGCGUGGCCAGCAGGACCACCCCACAAGGUAUGACGAUGUCCCACGCGAGGCUGAAGAGGUCGUCGUGAGAGCUCGCGUAGAUGUAGGAUGGCCUCAUGCUGCGCACGAAGUGAUGGGUCCUGUAUGCAUCGUAUGCAUGAGGCAACACAUGCAGCAUGGUGCCCCCGAUGUAAAACACAGGGGAAAGCGCUCUGACUUUAGAGGCUGAGAACACAUUCAGGAUGGCCUGGGGGAGCAGGAACCCAUCGAGCAAUAAGCCCCCGAAAGGGACAAUGUCCUACCAGAAUGUAUGUCGUGGCGGCAUGAGGCGGGUAACUUGCCUCAACAUCAUUCUGCUGUGGUUGGUUCUCAUGUGGACAACCACAGUUACGACUCCGCCUAUGAUGUACAGCGGCAAACACACCAAGAGUACUUUCCUCUCUGCACAACACAACAUGUCCAACAUUCUCCAUAUUGAUUCUUUCACUCUUGUCUCUCAAGCUUAUAAUCUGCCUUAUACAUGUUGUGCUGCUUUCGCGUUCAGACUAGCAAAGUGAGCAAUUAUCAGAAUCUUACAGUCUGAGGAGACAUUAACCCCUCGACACGUGAUCAGGAAUAAGGAGCCUGUCUCCAUGUCAUAAACACCGACCGCCAAUUCCGCACGGGAUGAUCCUGAAUUUACCACAUGACACCCUUCCAGGCAAAGCCUGUUAGCAUUCUUAUCCCAGAAACCCUCUGCCUGGAAUAAUCUGACAUGUUGGAGAAGGGAACGGCUCUGCCUGGAAUAAUCUGACAUGUUGGAGAAGGGAACGGCGCCAUUCCCCGCUCAGCGCACCCUGUUGACGAACAUGUGCGUCUGGCGAAUCAUCAGCGAGGAGGCGGCCCACUUGCCGCCAUUGCCGUAGUCCAUGUCAGUUAAACCCUGAACCGAUUGUAGCUGAGUCGGUUUCCCCGGUUCUUUAGUUUGCUUUCGCAUGCAAUAAAGUGCAUGGCCGCGAUCUGUGCGUGCCGUGCGCGACUAGGAGUAGGAGGUGGCCGCGGUGAGCACGCACUCUUCGUGGACGUGGGAUGGCACGUUCGAGCGAGCGGGGUUGAGGCGUGCGAAUCGGCCGGGCUGUUUAGGUCGAACAGAAUAAGAGGAGAAGGAAAACAUAAAAGCAGCAUCAGUUGUGCGCUGCGCAAAACACUUGUCCCUGUGAGUUCAUCGAGAGCAGUGAGGGAGAGAACGAGCGCGGCGGUAGCCUGACAAUUGGCAUCAGAGCCACCAGCGACGAGGGCCAUGGCGGGCAGCAGGGAGGCCGGCGCCGACGAGGCACCGACUGUAGCUGCCCAGGGACUCGGCGGGGAGGCGACGCCACGGGCGCGGACGGAGACGCGGGGACGGAGCCGCGGACGCAGCCGCGUCAGAAGGAACCCGGGCGAGGUGAUCGUCCACGAGCGCGUGAUCCGGGAGGCGAGCAGGCAUGGCGGCGCUAUCAUCUACCCCACCCUGACGCCCACCAACUACAUUGAGUGGGCCCGGAUCAUGCAGAUCAACCUCCGCGCGCAGGGCCUAUGGGAGGCCAUGCUCGGCGACGGCAUGGUCACCGAUCGGGAGGACAUGGCGGCGCUCGCCGCACUCAUCCGCGCCGUCCCUCCAGAGAUGCACGGCGUCCUCGCCGUCAAGAACACCACGUAUGAAGCCUGGGAGGCCGUACGCACGAUGCGGCUAGGGGCGACCCGCGUCAGGGAGGCGACGACCCAACGCCUCCGCAGCGACUUCGAGCAGAUCACGUUCAGGGACGGCGAAACCCUGGACGCCUUCGCCAUGCGCAUCACCGACCUCGCCAACAACCUCCGAAUGCUGGGCGACGACGUGCAGGAGGUACGCGUUGUCCGAAAGAUCCUGCGCGUGGUGCCAGCUCGCUACGCGCAGAUCGCCUGCGCCAUCGAGACGCUCCUUGAUCUGUCGACGCUAACGGUAGAGGAGCUCGUCGGCCGCCUCCGAUCCACGGAGGAACGAUGCGCCGACGACACGAGGAACCAUAGCGGCCAGCUACUAUUCACGGAGCAGGAGUGGGAGGCGCGCAAGAGCCAGCGCGAGCUCGGGCAAGGUUCUGGCUCGAGCGGUGGCGCGAACGGAAAUGGCGGGCAACGACAAGGCAAACAGCCCGGCAGCGGCGGGCAGCGGCGCGACCGUGACAUGUCAAAGGUGAAGUGCUAUAACUGCAAUAAGUUAGGGCACUUCUCCAGGGACUGCAAGGAACCACGCCGCGAACGGCGUGGACAGGGACAGGGCGCGCCGGGGCAGGCGCCGGCGGCCCAGCCUCAGUAGAGGGCCAAUUUGGCCCGGAUCGACGAUGACGAGGCUGGCCUUCUACUAGCGCAGUCUUGCACCCUCCAUGAGCGGGAGCCUGCUCUCCUGAUGGCUACCGUUCUCCCGGCCGACGCGCACAAGGAGGUGGAGGGCGUCGCCGCAGCGCACGGGAACGCUAUCGGUGCGCCCACCUAUGUCGAGUUAGUCGAGGACCAAGUGCACCUGGCCAAGGAGCGGCGUGGCGAUGACGUAUGAUUCCUCGACAUAGGAGCCAGCAACCACAUGACUGGCGUGACGGGGGUCUUCGCCGAGCUCGACACCGGAGUCACGAGCACGGUGAAGUUCGGGGACGGCUCGCUAGUGGACAUCCAGGGGCGCGGAAUGAUCCUCUUCGCCUGUCGCAAUGGUGAGCACCGCGCUCUGACUGACGUCUACUAUAUCCCGCGUCUACACAGCAACAUCGUCAGCCUCGGGCAGCUCGACGAAACAGGCUGCCAGACCCUCAUCAAGCACGGCGUCCUCCGCCUGCGAGACCAGCAGCAGCAGCUCCUCGUCAAGGUGCAGCGCACGAGGAACCGCCUGUACGUGGUCACACUGGCCACCAUGCAGCCGGUGUGCCUCGCCGCGCACACUGGUGAGGCGGCAUGGACAUGGCACGAGCGCUAUGGGCACCUGAACUUCGACGCGCUCCGGAAGCUCGCACGCCACGGCAUGGUGCGCGGACUCCCAACGAUCGAGCAUGCACAGCAGCUAUGCGACAGCUGCCUGGCGGGAAAGCAGAGGCGGGCACCAUUCCCGCAAGCUGCCACGCGCCAUGCGGAGGGACUCCUAGACCUCGUGCACGGCGAACUUUGUGGGCUGAUCACUCCGGCCACCGCAGGAGGGAGGCAGUACUUCCUCCUCCUCGUCGAUGACCUGAGCCGCUACAUGUGGAUCAGGCUGCUCACCACGAAGGACGAGGCAGCUGCGGAGAUUAGGCGCUUCAAGGCCGGCGUCGAGGUCGAGACUGGCCGUAAGCUACACCUCCUCCGCACGGACCGCGGAGGGGAAUUCAUUGCCGCCACAUUCGCCACCUACUGUGCCGACGAGGGGGUGGGGCGCCAGCUAACGACACCCUACUCCCCGCAGCAGAACGGCGUCAUUGAGCGGCGCAACCAAACGAUCGUCGUUGCGGCAAGGUGCCUCAUGAAGGCCAAGGGGGUGCCGGCGAGGUUCUGGGGAGAGGCGGUGGCGACCGCCGUCUAUCUCUUGAACCGAUCACCCACGAAGAGUGUGGCUGGCAAGUCUCCCUACAAGGUGUGGCAUGGGCAUAAACCCAAUGUGGAUCACCUACGCGUGUUCGGCUGUGUUGCGCACGUCAAGGUGGUGAAGCCGCACGCCGCCAAGCUCGACGACUGGAGCAUGCCCAUGGUGUUCCUGGGAUAUGAGCCUGGAACGGCGGGGUAUCGCGUCCACGACCCAGUCCACAAUCAUGUGCAGGUGUCUCGUGAUGUCGUCUUCGACGAGGCCACACGGUGGGAUUGGGGGAGCAAUGGAGCAGCACCGAUGGCCGUGGAGUUCACCGUCGGCACCUACUCCUACACGGUGACAUGGCCGGCGGCGUCAUCUACACCACUCAGAAGGGCUUUGACCGCGGCGAGCGCGUGUGGCGAAAGCGCUGUCCCUGGGAUGGCCUCGCCGGGGCGAACGGAAGCGUCGCCACUGAGCCCAGAACCCUCUUCGGAGCAAGGAGAGGCCACGGCCGCCUCGCACGCCAACGAUGACGAAGCACUGCAUCCACGGCAUCCCAUGAUGACGCGUGCACGGGACGGUGUUGUGCAGCCGAACAAGCAGUACGAGGACUACGUCAUGCUCGCUCACGACGAUGAACUGUACCUCGGCGAGAUCGAUGAGCCCAAGACCUUUGCUGAGGCCGAGGGCGAGGGAACAUGGCGUCACGCCAUGGACGAGGAGAUGGCCUCGAUCAUCUCCAACAACACCUGGCGCCUCGUCGAUCUACCUACAGGCCACGAGGCGAUCGGGCUCAACUGGGUUUACAAGCUCAAGCGUGAUGCGAACGGCAACAUCCAGAAGCACAAGGAGCGCUUGGUUGCGAAGGGCUACGUCCAGAAGCAAGGAGUGGACUUCGAGGAGGUGUUCACUCCCGUGGCUAGACUUGAGUCCGUGCGGCUGCUGAUCGCUCUCGCCGCGCACGAAGGAUGGCAAGUUCACCACAUGGACGUCAAAAGCGUGUUUCUGAACGGCAACCUGAAGGAGGAGGUGUACGUCGCGCAGCCGCCGGGCUACGUCGUCGAGGGCCAGGAACACAAGGUGCUCCGCCUCGACAAAGCUCUCUACGGGCUGCGGCAAGCACCGCGUGCGUGGAACGCAAAGCUCGUCAGCUGUCUGCUUGGCCUCGGCUUCACCAGGAGCCCGGUGGAGCACACCGUCUACGGACGGGGAACGGGAGCGGCACGCCUGCUCGCCGGCGUGUACGUAGAUGACCUGAUCAUCACCGGCAAUGAUCACGACGAGAUCAACAAGUUCAAGAUGGAGAUGCAGAGGCUUUUCCGCAUGAGCGAUCUGGGUUUGCUGAGCUUCUACCUCGGCAUUGAAGUGAAGCAAACGACGAACGGCAUCUCCCUCAGCCAGGCAGCGUACGCCGGCAAGAUCAUCGAGAAGGCCGGCCUGCUGGGAUGUAACCCGUGCCACACUCCUAUGGAGCCACGGUUCAAGCUCAGCAGACUGAGUUCAGCUCCGGGCACAGACGAGACGGCGUACAGAAGCGUCGUGGGCGCACUGCGUUAUCUAGUGCACACGCGCCCGGACCUGGCCUACUCUGUGGGCUAUGUGAGCCGGUUCAUGGAGGCACCGACGACGGAGCACCUUGCUGCUGUCAAGCAAAUCAUCAGGUAUGUCGCGGGAAUGCAGCACUACGGCUGCUUCUAUGCGAGGGGCGCAACCGGGGCACCCCUGGUCGGCUUCAGCGACAGCGACAUGGCAGGCGACAUCGACACGCGCAAGAGCAUGGCCGGCGUCCUCUUCUUCUUCGGGCGGAGCUUGAUCAGCUGGCAGUCACACAAGCAAUGAGUGGUGGCCCUGUCCACCUACGAGGCGGAGUACAUCGCCGCCACAACGGCGGCCUGCCAGGGUGUCUGGCUCGCUCGGCUACUUGGCGACAUCAAGAACAAGGAGGCCGAGCAGGUCACGCUAAAGAUUGACAACAAGGCAGCUAUCUCCCUCAGCAAGAACCCCGUCUUCCACGAUCGCAGUAAGCACAUUGACACAAGGUUUCAUUUCCUGCGUGAAUGUGUUGAAGAUGGGCGCGUUGAGGUGGAGUUCAUCGGCACCAAUGGACAACUCGCCGACAUCCUGACAAAGUCGCUCGGGCGCUCAAGUUUCAGGAGCUUCGAGAAGAGAUUGGUGUAGUUCAUAUCCAGUAGUGGUUCAGGGUGUAGGGAGGCAAUGUCAGUUAAACCCUGAACCGAUUGUAGCUGAGCCGGUUUCCCCGGUUCUUUAGUUUGCUUUCGCACGCAAUAAAGUGCAUGGCCGCGAUCUGUGCGUGCCGUGCGCGACUAGGAGUAGGAGGUGGCCGCGGUGAGCACGCACUCUCCAUGGACGUGGGAUGGCAAGUUCGAGCGAGCGGGGUUGAGGCGUGCGAAUCGGCCGGGUUGUUUAGGUCGAACAGAAUAAGAGGAGAAGGAAAAUAGAAAAGCAGCAUCAGUUGUGCGCUGCGCAAAACACUUGUCCCUGUGAGUUCAUCGAGAGCAGUGAGGGAGAGAACGAGCGCGGCGGCAGCCUGACAGUCCAGCCUAAACCUUGGCUUGAGCAGUGACCUAAGGCCGGGGCAUGUGAAGUUCCUGCCGUCGAAUAGCAGGCAAAGGUCGCGGCCUUCGGCAGGUGGGCGAGGGCAGGACGUGCUCUAGGAGUAGGCGUACCCCUCCUCGGCGUAGUUGAGGAGUGAGACGGGCUCGAACAACAGGCCAGGGCCAGGGCCGCUGCAGCAGACAACUCGGCGCCGCGGAGGGGAAGACUGGUGUCCAACAGAAUACCGAGUUUAAAAAGAAGGGCAGGAAGACCUUCAAGAGAGAUAAGAAGAAGGGUGGCUGUUUCACUUGUGGUUCAGAUGAACAUUGGGCUGCCAAGUGCCCAAACAAGUUUAAGAAGCCAGGAUAGGACUCCAAGACUGUCAACAUGAUUGUGAGCAACGAUUAGAGUGGGUCAUCUGGGUACGGUAAUUUGUUUACUCUAUUUUCAGUUUGUCAGUCUACCGAUUGGUGGAUUGACACAGGUGCAAAUAUUCAUGUGUGUGCUGACAUUUCAUUGUUUUCUUCUUAUCAGGCCACAGGGAACGGGUCCAUACUGAUGGGGAACGGCCACUAGUGCAGAACCGGGCUUUAGCGCCGGUUCGUAAGGGCCUUUAGUGCCGGUUCUACAACCGGCACUAAAGAGUGAAGACUAAAGCCCUCCCCCCCUUUACUACCGGUUCGACACGAACCGGCGCUAAUGUGCCACCACGUGGCACGAGCCAGGCCAGGGUGCUGGUAUAUCAUUAGUACCGGUUGGUAACACCAACUGGUACUAAAUGUUUGGAGAGGUUUUGGUUUUGUUUUUCAUUUUCCAUUAAUUUUGUGUUUUCCAUUUAAUUCAUUUUUGUUUGCUGGUAUUUUAUGAUACUACAAAUUGUACACGUCAUGCAUAUAUAUAAAUAGAUUUUCUCGUAUGUAGAACCGCAUAUAUAUAUAUAUAUAUAUAUAUAUAUAUAUAUAUAUAUAUAUAUAUAUAUAUAUAUAUCAUCGAAUGUCUCACAACCAACACCAUUAAUUAUUCACACAUACACAUGUAAUAUAUAUAUAUACAAUUUCUCCUACUUGUUGCCUUGGUGCCUUCGGAGCACGAUGACAAGUGGUUCAUGGGGGCGGUAGUGGGUAAUAGUAUUCUCCUUUAGGGUCUAUGACCUGGUCGAGCAAAAAUCCCGUUAUUUCCUCUUGAAGUGCUAGUAUGUGGUCCGCUGGUAGGAGCUGCUCCCGCACUUCUCUGAACUAUGUUAAGAAGGAGAUCAAUAUGCAUGUGUAUUAGUUGUGUGACUAGAUAUCAAUAAUGGUGUGAAUAGUGUUCUGACAAACGUACCCAAUCCUGUCUUUGAGAUCUACUCCUUUCGGACGCCAUCAUGCGAAUGUUCUCGCAAACAAUGCACAUAGGUCAUUCCCCUGCACCUGCUUCAGGGCCUUUACGAGAAUGGAAUUGAAUCAGAUAAUGAUUAAUCAAGCAUGAUAAUUAAUUAAUGGUAUUGAAACCAGGAUUAAAGAGAUGGUAGCUAGCUAGCUAGCUAGUACUACUUAAUUACUUACCUUUGGUCGAUACCAAAACAGCUUUUUUGCCCAUUUGCCUGGAGUCAUCUUGAUGAACUUUGCCCAAGCCCUGCCCGCCGGCAAAGAAAAUUAAUAAAGGGGUUAUUAAAUAGUUCAUAUCAGGAGAUGACGAACUAAAUAGGCCGAGAUAUAGUUAAUAAUGAUCGAAAUUACCUGUUGACUAUCCCCUUCACGGUGGUGUAGUCACUUUCUUCUUUAAGUAGUGAGUCCAGUACUUCAACUGUUCCUUUGUCAACUUUAAUGUCUAACAAGAUCCAGUGGAAACUGCAUGCGCACACAUUUGCAUGUCUUAAUUAAGCGGGCAUGUGCGUAACACUAAUCAACUACCGUAAACCCUAUACACUUAAUUAUUAACAUCUAGCUAGCUAGUAAGCAAAAACAAAAUUUGUAGUACAAGACAGUGUGACUCACAGGACCUUGUAAGGAAGUAGUAUAUCUUCAUUGGUAUUAAGGCGCUUGAAGAACUCUAGCAUGAUUUCAUCUACACUUGCUUGAUAAAUUGGAAGAUUCCAUGUGUACUCAUUAAUGGUAUUUGAGUCAAUGAACCCAAUGCCAUAGCGUCCAGAUUUUUUUAUUUCAUAUAUCUUCAUCCUGCAUAUAAUACCACAGAAAAGAAUAUAGUGAGGAUAAUUACAUGUAAUGAUUGAUCAAAAUGAUCACUACAGCUAGCUUGAGACUUAAAUUAUAGAAAGAAAUCACUUAUAGACAAUAGCAACUGACGAUAGAUUUGUCGGGUGUGUCUUGAUUGUAUAACUGAAAUAGCUCUGAAUACUCAACGGACAUAGCUUUCUCAUGGAAGUAAUGCUCCUCCUUGACAUUCGCCAUGAGGGACACUCGAUUGGAAAUCUUGGUAAUGUUCAUGUACCAUUGAUGCAAUUCAUACAUUCUCGUUGGGAGGUUCUUGACCUUGUCUGGCUCGACCAAAGGUUGGCCCCGGACAUAUUUCCGUUUUAUUUCCUCCUCUCUAAGCGGAGGCAUGGGCUCGAUUUCGAGGAGUUGUCCAACAGUGAUCUUGAGCAUUUCAGCCUGCAUUAUAUGCUCCUCGGUUAUUACCACAUCGCCCAGCUGGGGAACGUUAAAGGUUUGCCCACAAUAAUAUUGGGAGCAUGUACUCUCAUGUGUUGUUGGCACAACAAGCGGGGGGAUCGAUUGCGCCGCCUGUUCUCCCAGCUAGGGAACGGUUUUCCCGCAUUUUUUGCCAGCUGCUUGUUGGCUCGAGCUCGAGCUCGCUUCCUUCUGUAGUCGUGCUCGAUGUAGCUUCUUGAUUUGGCGCUCAUAGUCUGAGUCAACAGGCUUGGGAGCUGGUGCUCUAGCCAUACGAAUGAAGUGGUCAAUCUUUUCCUCAGGCACUUUCUCCCUUGGCGGCGGUGCCGAUUUCGGUCCAAAAUGGGCAUCCACUUGGGCCUGCACUAUGGCAGCGUUUUGCUCCCCGAUCAAGUCGUAAGGCCUCUGAGGAAGAGGAGCGAGGCUUGGACCAUAUUUAUAUCGCUUGUCUCCGCCGGUACUUCAUGUACUACGUUGACUCGUACCGCUACACACCAUAGCCGCGGUGUGUGUCUUCUGCGAUUGCUGAGAUGGCGGAGACGGCUGACGUGAUUGACGUUGUGCCGGACUUGAAGCAGGAGGAGUGGCCUGACGUUGUGUCGGACUUGAAACCGGAGGAGUGGCUUGACGCUGUGCCGGACUUGAAGCAGGAGUCUGCUCACGCAUUCGGGGACUUGGAGGAGGUGGCGGACUUUGAGGAGGAGUCGGCUCACGCAUUCGUGGACUUGGAGGAGCGGGAGUCUGUUCACUCGGUGGCGGACAUCGAGGAGGAGUCGGCAGACAACACGGUGUCGGUGGACUUCGAAAGAUGAUGCAAUCCUUUCUCCAUAGGAUGAUACGAUGUAUGGCCUCUCCCAGUGUGCGCUCGUCUUCACCUCCAGGAAUGUGAAGCUGUAGCCCCGAAUAUGGGUCCACCACUUCAUCAACCAAGACACGAGCAUAGCCCUCUGGAAUCGGGGUGCAAUGGAAGGUUGCUUCGGGGGUAAUUGUAAAAGCAAUGCCGUCCGCCACCUUCAUGGAUAUGUUCUUCAUUUUGGAGUGUAGCUCACAGUUAGUGUUCUCUAGAUGUCAUCCACAGGGUAUGUAUCCAGCAAUGUGUCGCCCGAGGCAGAACCAACACUGCUUCUCAGCAUGGAUGGGACGAUGCUAUCCAAUGCUGGACGAUCAUCCGAUUGCUGCUGCCGCUGCUGAGACCCCCUUUCCUGGCUAAGUGAGUUGAUCUGCUGCUGUUGCUGCUGGAAUUUGAGUGCCAAGUCCGUGUGCCUUGCUUCUAGGCCUUGAAGGCGUUCUGCGUCCUGCUUCCUCUGCUCCUCCCCCAGCUUCCUCUUCUUCUCCUCCUCCAUCUUCUUUCUUGCACGGGACCUGUAGUCGUCGUUCCAUUCCAAAAAUCCCUCAUACUAGGGAAUAACGCCCUUGCCUCGCGUUCUUCCCGGGUGUUCAGGAUUUCCCAGGGCGCACAAAAGCUCGUCGUUCUCUCUAUUGGGCGUGAACACCCCCGUUCGAGCUUCUUCUAUUGCGUCAAGUAUCUUUUGUUCGACUCCUUUUAGACUUGCCUUCUGCGAAACCAGGCCUGUCUUCGGGUCCAACGCCCCCCAUGCGCAUAAAACCAAGUUUUGCACCUGGGGGGCCAGCUCCUAGUAACCGAAGUGACCCCUGCAUCCUCCAUCUUUUGCUCAGACUUAUCCCACUUAGGCAUUCCCACCGCAUAACCACCUGGACCCAGCCUAUGGAGUUGCGCCUUUUUUGCGGCAUUGGCCUUGUUUUUUUAUCGACCGUUCCUUAGAUAAUUCUGAUUCCUUGAAUUUCACGAAAUCGGCCCAGUGUUCUCUCUGCUUCUCUAGUGUUCCCGUGAAGUCUGGAGUCUUCCUUUCUGCAGCGAGGUAGUUGGCCCAUACAGUUUUCUUGUGGGUGUUGAAUGCAAUUGCCAUCUUCUUAAGAGCAGCGCCCUUGACUUUCUCCACAUCUGCUUCUGUGAAAUAAUCUGGUAGGGUGAAAUGUUCCAUCAGAGAUUCCCAAAAGUUUUUUUUGCUCUGUCGUCGACCCAAGUAACACCUGGACGUUUAGUUUUUGGCCCUUUCCAUUCUUGAAUGGAGAUCGGGAGUUGGUCCUUCACAAGAACUCCACACUGACGAGUCCACUUGUUCGCAAUGUUCUUAGGCGUGAGGGGUUCGCCACUAGGUUUGACGGAGUCGAUGUUGUACUUUACAUCCUCCUUCAACUUUUUGCUCGGGCCUCACUUUGUCCUGCUGUCUGUAGAAGCAGAUUUGCUCGAUCCGGAGGGCUGAAAGAAGAAAGAUCGAUUCGGUAAUAUAUCUUCAAAUAAAAAACAUGUGAUGAUCACCAGAUGCCUGCUUAUAUAAAUAUACCUCGCCGGUAGUCUUUGUUAUUUGAAGAUCAGCAUUGUCUGUGUCAUCAUAAACAUUGUCUGUGUCAUCAUAAUCAUAAUCGUAGUUCUUGACUUCAUCAGCUCGGUCAUUGACAUCGAAUAUCUUUUCAUCACCCUCUCUGGUAUUGUUCAGAUAUUGGGAGCCGUCAUCUUCUUCAUUUAGAUCAUCUAGCCUGCGAGGGCUGCAUAUGAUGUCGAACAAUUCCUCUUCUCUCUCUCUGCUGGUAUUGUACGCUAUAGCUUUUACUUAACUAAUACAGAAGAAAUAUAAAACAAUUUAGUAUUCAAAUUACAAUGCAUGGAUGGAAUCAAUAACGAAAAACUGAAUCAUAUAGUACAUAAUAUAUGCAUCGUCUCGAUUAAUAUAUAAUCUCGAAUACAUCAUCGUCUCGAGUACAUCUUCUCGAGUAUUAUAUAUCAAAUAAAUCACUGGCUAGGUACCUAAUAAAGAUCGAGUACUACAGAAGAAUCUAGGCCACUCGCGGUUCCUAGGGCGCGGGCGGUGGGCACCCAAAGAGAAGGAACCAUCACAGGAUCAUAUCUCCGGUGAUCUGCACAAAGAACCUGCCAAGUAUUUGAGAACCUGACGUCCAUAGCAGCCAUGUAGCAAUGAACAUGCUCGUCCUCCUCCCUAACACGGUGACGCACCACCUACGGCGGGGCCGGCUCCCUCUACACCGAAUGUGGCCCACAUGAACGCCACCAAAGGAGAUCAGGGUCGACGACGGGACCCGAGGCCGGGUUCCUCACCCUCCAGGUAGCACCUCCCAGUGCCUGCCCGGCGGAGCCCAGUCCCGGACAUGGGUCCUCUGAAGCAGGACGUCGUCGCGAAUGGGUCGACGGCGAGGAUGCGGGCCGGGCAUAUCGUCGAGAACAAAUACUAUAUGCCCGCAAAAAGUAACAUUUUUUAAAUGAUUGGAUUGUGAUAACUAAAAUUCUAUAUGCAAAUUCUAACAAUUUGACAUUAAUCUAACUCAUCUAACUAGAACUAAUUCUAAAAUUUCGAACAUUUCUGAUUAUAUAACUAACAUUUCUAUAACAUUUCUAAUAUUUUUAUAACUAAAAAUAGAAAACUUGCUAACAUUUCUAUAAAUAUUUCUAUAACUAAAAAACAGAAAAAAAUUAUAACAUUUCUAUAUAACUAACAUUUCUAAUAUUUCUAUAACUAAGGAACAGAAAAAUUUCUAACAUUUCUAUAGAUAUUUCUAUAACUAAAAAACAGAAAAAAUUUCUAUAACUAAAAUUUAUAACAAAAAAACUAAUGUGUGUGUGUGUGUGGACAUGGCGGCCGGGGCAUGAGCUCACCGGUGAGGCGACGACGGGGCGGUGACGACGGGACGACGGGACGGGGCGACGACGACGGGGCGGGGUGCGGCGUCGGGGCGGGGCGCGGCGAUGGGGAUGGGGACGGCCGAGGAGACGAUGACGAUGAGGGGCGGGGACGGCCAGGGCGGCGACGGCGUCGAUCGGGGCAGGCGGCGUGUCGUCGAUGGAGAGGAAGAAACAGAGGGAAACUGAAUUUUUUUCAAGUUUUGUAUAUCUUUAGUAUUGGUUGGAGCAUCAACCGUUACUAAAGGUCUGUUUUGGCCAGGCCAAGCGGCGGGAAGCGCCCCUCCUUUAGUACCAGGUCGUGGCACCAACCGGUACUAAAGACCCCCUCUUUAGUACCGGUUGCAGCCACCACCCGGUACUAAAGGGGGUGCGCUGGUGCAGGUGCGGUGCGGCAAGUUUAGUCCCACCUCGCUAGCCGAGGGGCGUCCGCACUGGUUUAUAAGCCCCAAUGUCGUAGCUCUCUCGAGCUCCUCUCCAAAGCAGGCCUACUGGGCCUACCUGUUCUCUACUGCGCUAUGGGCCUACUGGGCCUUUGUGGGCCUGCAUCUUGGCCCAACAAAACAUUGUGUUUCUAGUCGUAUGCAGGCCGCUCUGGCCUAGUAGGCGGGCUUUUUUAUUUUCUUAAGUUUUUGCUUUAAUUUUUUUGUUUUAUUUAUUUUUGAGUUGUUUUUUGCUGUAUUUAGAGUUUCUUUGUGAAUAUUUUUGCUUUAGGUUAGUGCCGGUAGUUUCUGUUAGUGCCGGUAGUUUUCAAAUUGAAUAGUUUAAAUUUUGAAUUAUUUGAAAUUUGUGUGAAUCACUAGUUUAUGAAUAACUUAACUUUGAAAAUAGAUUUUUUAGUGAUUCUUUUUUAUAUGUUUAAUAUUAGUGUGUUUUAUCAUUAUAUUCAAUUUGGUAAUGCUUAGGUUAUUUAAAAAAUGAAAUGCCUUCGUAACAGAUGAGUUUUCGUUCAAAACCCUAAUACUUCGGAAGAGAUUGUCCAUUUUGUACACGAAGUGCAUCCAGUUUUUGCCGUAACCCUCUCUACUUCUUUGCACAUGCUAUGUGGGUGAAAUUAUGAUACCAUGCCAACUUUCAACCUUUUCUGAGUUCAUUUGAAAUUCUUUUCAAUUUCAGGGUCAUUUAGCUGAAAAAAUCGGUAAAUGCAUGAAAGAAUUUGUUUGCACAUAAAAUUUCUUCGCGUUUCAAAUGCCAAAACACAUAACUACCCUAACUAUUACAGAGAUUCCCUCCUGGGUGUGAAACACAGAAGAAAGUGAUGAUAGUGAAGCCAAUCACAUCCUAGAUCUUUGGGUGUGAAACUUUUCCUUCACGUGUGUCCCUUUGCGCCGUAGCCAUGGAAAAUCUUCAUCAUUUAACUGGAUGCUUGGGUCAAUAUUCACUAUGAAUGGAGCAAUUUCAUCAAACUUUUCAUAAUCUUCUGACAUGUCUGUCUUGUCAUCCACUCCCACAAUGUUUCUUUUCCCUGAAAGAACUAUGUGGCGCUUUGGCUCGUCAUAUGAUCCAUUCGCUUCCUUAUCUUUUCUUUUUCUCGACUAGGUAGACAUGUUUUUCACAUAAAAAACCGGCGCCACAUCAUUGGCUAGGAUGAAUGGUUCGUCUACAUACGCAAGAUUGUUGAGAUCCACUGUUGUCAUUCCGUACUACGGGUCUUCCGUUACCCCCCUCGUGUCAUAUUGACCCAUUUGCACCGAAACAAAGGGACCUUCAAACCACCUCCAUAGUUAAGUUCCCAUAUGUCCUCUAUGUAACCAUAAUAUGUUUCCUUUCCCGUGUUGGUUGUUGCAUCAAAGCAGACACCACUGUUUUGGUUGGUGCUCUUCUUAUCUUGGGCGAUCAUGUAAAAUGUAUUCCCAUUUAUCUGGUACCCUUUGAAAGUCAUUAUAUUCGAAGAUGGUAACUUGGACAGCGAAUACAGGUCAUCUUCAAUAUUGCCAUCAUGCAUGGCACGUUUCUGCAACCAACCGGCGAAAGUCCUCGUUUGUUCACGUGUAAUCCAGUCGUCAGACUUCUCCGGGUGUUUGGAGUGUAGAAAAUUCUUGUGUUCCUCCAUAUACAGAGCCACCAAGGCGGAGUUCUGUAGAACUGUGUAGAGUGCUUCAGUGAGAGAAUGCCCGUCCAUACAUAUUAUUUGAUCCCCUCCUAGCAUGCCUUUUCCAUCCAGUCUACCCUUAUGCCGCGAUUCAGGAACACCAAUCGGUUUAAGGUCAGGAAUAAAGUCAAUACAAAACUCAAUGACCUCCUCAUUUUCAUGGCCCUUCGAGAUGCUUCCUUAUGGCCUAGCACGGUUAUGAACAUAUUUCUUUAAGACUCCCAUGAACCUCUUAAUGGGGAACAUAUUGUGUAGAAAUACAGGACCCAAAACGUUAAUCUCUUCGCAAAGGUGAACUAGGACGUGCGUCAUGAUGUUGAAGAAGGAUGGUGGGAACACCAACUCAAAACUGACAAGACUUUGCACCAAAUCAUUCUGUAACCUUGGUAUGAUUUAUGGAUCGAUUACAUUCUGAGAGAUUGCAUUGAGGAAUGCACAUAGCUUCACAAUGGCUAAUUGAAUGUUUUCCGGUAGAAGCCCCCUCAAUGCAACCGGAAGCAGUUGCGUCAUAAUCACGUGGCAGUCAUGAGACUUUAGGUUCUGGAACUUUUUCUCUGCCAUAUUUAUUAUUCCCUUUAUAUUCGAUGAGAAGCCAGAUGGUACCUUCAUGCUGAGCAGGCAUUCAAAGAAGAUUUCCUUCUCUUCUUUGGUAAGAGCGUAGCUGGCCUGACACUGAUGUAUGCCGUCUUUUCCGUGCAUACGUUGCUGGUCCUCCCGUGCCUCUGGUGUAUCUUUUGUCUUCCCAUACACGCCCAAGAAGCCAAGCAGGGUCACGCAAAGAUUCUUCGUCACGUGCAUCACGUCGAUUGCGGAGCGGACCUCUAGAUCUUUCCAAUAUGGCAGGUCCCAUGUUGGGGAACGUUGCAGAAAAUAAAAAAAUUCUACGCUUCACCAAGAUCAAUAUAUGGAGUCAUCUAGCAACGACAGAGAGGAGUGCAUCUACAUACCCUUGUAGAUCGCGUGCGGGAGCGUUCAAGAGAACGGGGUUGAGGGAGUCGUACUCGUCGUGAUCCAAAUCACCGAAGAUCCUAGUGCUGAACGGACAACACCUCCGCGUUCAACACAUGUACGGUUGGGAAGAUGUCUCCUCCUUCUUGAUCUAGCAAGGGGGAAGGAGAGGUUGAUGGAGAUCCAGCAGCACGACGGUGUGGUGGUGGAAGUAGCGGCGAUCUCGGCAGGGCUUCGCCAAGCUCUACCAGAGGGAGAGGUGUUGCAGAGGAAGAGGGAGGCGCCAGGAGCAGGGGUGCGCAGCCCUCCCUCCCCCCUCUUUAUAUAGGGGCCCUGGGGAGGCGCCGACCCCGUAGUGAUUGGAUAUCAAGGGGGGGCGGCAGCCAAGAGGGUGGCUUGCCUCCCAAGCCAAGUGGGGCGCCCCCCACCCCUAGGGUUUCCAACCCUAGGCGCAGGGGGAGGCCCAAGGGGGGCGCACCAGCCCACCAGGGGCUGGUUCCCCUCCCACUUCAGCCCAUGGGGCCCUCUGGGAUAGGUGGCCCCACCCAGUGGACCCCCAGGACCCUUCCGGUGGUCCCGGUACAAUACCGGUGACCCCCAAAACUUUCCCGAUGGCCGAAAUUGGACUUCCUAUAUAUAAUUCUUCACCUCCGGACCAUUCCGGAACUCCUCGUGACAUCCGGCAUCUCAUCCGGGACUCCGAACAACUUUUGGGUUACCGCAUACUAAUAUCUCUACAAGCCUAGCGUCACCGAACCUUAAGUGUGUAGACCCUACGGGUUCGGGAGACACGCAGACAUGACCGAGACGACUCUCCGGUCAAUAACCGACAGCGGGAUCUGGAUACCCAUGUUGGCUCCCACAUGCUCCUCCAUGAUCUCAUCGGAUGAACCACGAUGUCGAGGAUUCAAGUAAUCCCGUAUACAAUUCCCUUUGUCAAUCGGUACGUUACUUGCCCGAGAUUCAUGAUCCCGUGACCAAACACUUGGUCACAUUGAGCUCAUUAUGAUCAUGCAUUACCGAGUGGGCCCAGAGAUACCUCUCCGUCAUACGGAGUGACAAAUCCCAGUCUCGAUCGGUGUCAACCCAACAGAUACUUUCGGGGAUACCCGUAGUAUACCUUUAUAGUCACCCAGUUACGUUGUGACGUUUGGUACACCCAGAGCACUCCUACGGCAUCCGGGAGUUACACGAUCUCAUGGUCUAAGGAAAUAAUACUUGACAUUGGAAAAGCUCUAGCAAACAAAGUACACGAUCUUGUGCUAUGCUUAGGAUUAGGUCUUGUCCAUCACAUCAUUCGCGUAAUGAUGUGAUCCCGUUAUCAACGACAUCCAAUGUCCAUAGUCAGGAAACCAUGACUAUCUGUUGAUCAACGAGCUAGUCAACUAGAGGCUCACUAGGGACAUGUUGUGGUCUAUGUAUUCACACGUGUAUUACGAUUUCUGGAUAACACAAACAAUUAUAGCAUGAAUAACAGACAAUUAUCAUGAACAAGGAAAUAUAAUAAUAAUCAUAUUAUUAUUGCCUCUAGGGCAUAUUUCCAACAGUCUCCCACUUGCACUAGAGUCAAUAAUCUAGUUACGUUGUGAUGAAUCGAACACCCAUAGAGUUCUGGUGUUGAUCAUGUUUUGCUCGCGGAAGAGGUUUAGUCAAUGGAUCUGAGACAUUCAGAUCCGUAUGCACUUUGCAAAUAUCUAUGUCUCCAUCUUGAACAUUUUCACGAAUGGAGUUGAAGUGAAGCUUGAUGCGCCUGGUCUUCUUGUGAAACCUGGGCUCCUUGGCAAGGGCAAUAGCUCGAGUGUUGUCACAGAAGAGAGUGACCGGCCCCGACGCAUUGAGUAUGACUCCUAGGUCGGUGAUGAACUCCUUCAUCCAGAUUGCUUGAUGCGCUGCCUCCGAGGCUGCCAUGUACUCCGCUUCACAUGUAGAUCCCGCCACGAUGCUUUGCUUGCAACUGCACCAGCUUACUGCCCCUCCAUUCAAAAUAUACACGUAUCCGGUUUGUGACUUAGAGUCAUCCAGAUCUGUGUCAAAGCUAGCGUCAACGUAACCCUUUACGACGAGCUCUUCGUCACCUCCAUAAACGAGAAACAUAUCCUUAGUCCUUUUCAGGUACUUCAGGAUGUUCUUGACCGCUGUCCAGUGUUCCAUGUCGGGAUUACUUUGGUACCUUCCUACCAAACUUAUGGCAAGGUUUACAUCAGGUAUGGUACAUAGCAUGGCAUAUAUAAUAGACCCUAUAGCUGAGGCAUAGGGGAUGACACUCAUCUUUUCUCUAUCUUCUGCCGUGGUCGGGCAUUGAGCUGAGCUCAAUUUCACACCUUGCAACACAGGCAAGAACCCCUUCUUGGACUGAUCCAUAUUGAACUUCUUCAAUAUCUUAUCAAGGUAUGUGCUUUGUGAAAGACCUAUGAGGCGUCUCGAUCUAUCACUAUAGAUCUUGAUGCCUAAUAUGUAAGCAGCUUCUCCAAGAUCCUUUAUUGAAAAACACUUAUUCAAGUAGGACUUAAAGCUGUCCAAAAGUUAUAUAUCAUUUCCCAUCAAAAGUAUGUCAUCUACAUAUAAUAUGAGAAAUGCUACAGAGCUCCCACUCACUUUCUUGUAAACGCAGGCUUCUCCAUAAGUCUGCAUAAACCCAAACGCUUUGAUCAUCUCAUCAAAGCGAAUGUUCCAACUCCAAGAUGCUUGCACCAGCCCAUAAAUGGAUCGCUGGAGUUUGCAUACCUUGUUAGCAUUCUCAGGAUUGGCAAAACCUUCCGGGUGCAUCAUAUACAGUUCUUCCUUAAGAUAGCCGUUAAGGAAUGCCGUUUUGACGUCCAUUUGCCAUAUCUCAUAAUCAUAGUAUGCGACAAUUGCUAACAUGAUUCGGACGGACUUCAGCUUCGCUACGGGAGAGAAAGUCUCAUCAUAGUCAACCCCUUGACAAGUCGAGCUUUAUGGAUGGUAACAUUACCAUCCGCAUUCGUCUUCUUCUUAAAGAUCCAUAAUUUUUCUAUCGCUCGCCGAUCAUCGGGCAAGUCUGUCAAAGUCCAUACUUUGUUUUCGUACAUGGAUCCUAUCUCGAAUUGCAUGGCUUCAAGCCAUUUGUUGGAAUCUGGACCCGCCAUCGCUUCUUCAUAGUUCGAAGGUUCACCGUUGUCUAACAACAUGAUUUCCAGGACAGGGUUGCCAUACCACUCUGGUGUGGAACGUGUCCUGGUGGACCUACAAAGUUCAGUAGUAACUUGAUCCGAAGUACCUUGAUCAUCAUCAUUAACUUCCUCUCUAGUCGGUGCAGGCACCACAGGAACAUCUUCCUGAGCUGCGCUACUUUCCGGUUCAAGAGGUAGUACUUCAUCAAGUUCCACUUUCCUCCCACUUACUUCUUUCGAGAGAAACUCUUUCUCCAGAAAGGACCCGUUCUUGGCAACAAAGAUCUUGCCUUCAGAUCUGAGGUAGAAGGUAUACCCAGUGGUUUCCUUAGGGUAUCCUAUGAAGACGCAUUUUUCCGACUUGGGUUCGAGCUUUUCAGGUUGGAGUUUCUUCACAUAAGCAUCGCAUCCCCAAACUUUUAGAAACGACAGCUUAGGUUUCUUCCCAAACCAUAAUUCAUACGGUGUCGUCUCAACGGAUUUAGACGGUGCCCUAUUUAAAGUGAAUGUAGCUGUCUCUAGAGCGUAUCCCCAAAAUGAUAGCGGUAAAUUGGUGAGUGAUGUCAUAGAUCGCACCAUAUCGAAUAGAGUGCGAUUACGACGUUCGGACACACCGUUACGCUGAGGUGUUCCAGGCGGCGUGAGUUGUGAAACGAUUCCACAUUUCCUUAAGUGCGUACCAAAUUCGUGACUUAAAUAUUCUCCCCCACGAUCUGAUCGUAAGAAAUUUAUCUUUCGGUCACGUUGAUUCUCGACCUCAUUCUGAAAUUCCUUGAACUUUUCAAAGGUCUCAGACUUGUGUUUCAUCAACUAGACAUACCCAUAUAUACUCAAGUCGUCAAUGAGAGUGAGAACAUAACGAUAGCCUCUGCGAGCCUCAACGCUCGUUGGACCGCACACAUCAGUAUGUAUGAUUUCCAAUAAGUUGGUUGCUCGUUCCAUUGUUCCAGAGAACGGAGUCUUGGUCAUUUUGCCCAUGACGCAUGGUUCGCAUGUGUCAAAAGAUUCGUAAUCGAGAGACCCUAAAAGUCCAUCAGCAUGGAGCUUCUUCAUGCGCUUGACACCAAUGUGACCAAGGCGGCAGUGCCACAAGUAUGUGGGACUAUUGUUAUCAACCUUACAUCUUUUGGUAUUCACAUUAUGAAUAUGUGUAACAUCACGUUCGAGAUUCAUUAAGAAUAAACCAUUGACCAGCGGGGCAUGACCAUAAAACAUAUCUCUCAUAUAAAUAGAACAACCAUUAUUCUCGGAUUUAAAUGAGUAGCCAUCUCGUAUUAAACGAGAUCCAGAUACAAUGGUCAUGCUCAAAGCUGGCACUAAAUAACAAUUAUUGAGGUUUAAAACUAAUCCCGUAGGUAAAUGUAGAGGUAGCAUGCCGAUAGCGAUCACAUCGACCUUGGAACCAUUCCCGACGCGCAUCGUCACCUCAUCCUUCGCCAGUCUCUGCUUAUUCCGCAGCUCCUGUUUUGAGUUACAAAUAUGAGCAACCGCACCGGUAUCAAAUACCCAGGAGCUACUACGAGUACUGUUAAGGUACACAUCAAUUACAUGUAUAUCACAUAUACCUUUAGUGUUGCCGGCCUUCAUGUCCGCUAAGUAUUUGGGCAGUUCCGCUUCCAGUGUCCGCUUCCCUUGCAAUAAAAGCACUCAGUCUCAGGUUUGGGUCCAUUCUUUGGCUUCUUCCCGGCAACUGGCUUACCGGGCGCAGCAACUCCCUUGCCGUCCUUCUUGAAGUUCCUCUUACCCUUGCCUUUCUUGAACUUAGUGGUUUUAUUGACCAUCAACACUUGAUGUUCCAUUUUGAUCUCCACCUCCGCUGAUUUCAGCAUUGAAAAUACUUCAGGAAUAGUUUUCACCAUCCCCUACAUAUUGUAGUUCAUCACAAAGCUCUUGUAGCUAGGUGGGAGCGACUGAAGGAUUCUGUCAAUGACCGCCUCGUCCGGGAGGUUAAUGUCCAGCUAGGACAGGUGGUUGUGCAACCCAGACAUUUUGAGUAUGUGCUCACUGACACAACUAUUUUCCUCCAUCUUACAACUGUAGAACUUGUCGGAGACUUCAUAUCUCUCGACCCGGGCAUGAGCUUGGAAAACCAUUUUCAGCUCUUCGAACAUCUCAUAUGCUCCGUGUUGCUCAAAACACUUUUGGAGCCUCGAUUCUAAGUUGUAAAGCAUGCCGCACUGAACGAGAGAGUAAUCAUCAGCACGUGACUGCCAAGCGUUCAUAAUUUCUUGGUUCUCUGGGAUGGGUGCGUCACUUCUAGGACAUAUGCUUUCUUGGCAGCUAUGAGGAUGAUCCUGAGGUUCCGGACCCAGUCCGUAUAGUUGAUGCCAUCAACUUUCAGCUUGGUUUUCUCUAGGAACACGUUGAAGUUGAGGUUGACAUGAGUGUUGGCCAUUUGAUCUACAAGACAUUUUGCAAAGGUUUUUAGACUAAGUUCAUGAUAAUUAAGUUCAUCUAAUCAAAUUAUUUAAAGAACUCCCACUCAGAUUAGACAUCCCUCUAGUCAUCUAAGUGAUACAUGAUCCAACUCAACUAGACCGUGUCCGAUCAUCACGUGAGACGGACUAGUCAUCAUCGGUGAACAUCUCCAUGUUGAUCGUAUCUUCCAUACGACUCAUGUUCGACCUUUUGGUCUCUUGUGUUCCGAGGCCAUGUUUGUACAUGCUAGGCUCGUCAAGUCAAUCUAAGUGUUUUGCAUGUGUAAAUCUGUCUUACACCCGUUGUAUGUGAACGUUAGGAUCUAUCACACCCGAUCAUCACGUGGUGCUUCGAAACAACAAACUUUCGCAAUGGCGCACAGUUAGGGGGAACACUUUCUUGAAUUUAUUAUGAGGGAUCAUCUUAUUUACUACCGUCGUUCUAAGCAAAUAAGAUGCAAAAACAUGAUAAACAUCACAUGCAAUCAAAUAGUGACAUGAUAUGGCCAAUAUCACAUUGCUCCUUUGAUCUCCAUCUUUGGGGCGCCAUGAUCAUCUUCGUCACCGGCAUCACACCAUGAUCUCCAUCAUCGUGUCUCCUUGAAGUUGUUCGCCAACUAUUACUUCUACUACUAUGGCUAACGGUUUAGCAAUAAAGUAAAGUAAUUACAUGGCGUUUAUUCAUUGACACGCAGGUCAUACAAUAAAUAAGACAACUCCUAUGGCUCAUGCUGGUAGUUAUACUCAUCGACAUGCAAGUCGUGAUUCCUAUUACAAGAACAUGAUCUCAUACAUCACAUAUAUAUCAUUCAUCACAACCUUUUGGCCAUAUCACAUCACAAGGCAUAUGCUGCAAAAACAAGUUAGACGUCCUCUAAUUGUUGUUGCAUGUUUUUACGUGGCUGCAAUAGGGUGCUAGCAAGAACGUUUCUUACCUACGUAAAAGCCACAACAUGAUAUGCCAAUUUCUAUUUACCCUUCAUAAGGACCCUUUUCAUCGAAUCCGAUCCGACUAAAGUGGGAGAGACAGACACCCACUAGCCACCUUAUGCAACUAGUGCAUGUCAGUCGGUGGAACCUGUCUCACGUAAGCGUACGUGUAAGGUCGGUCCGGGACGCUUCAUCCCAUGAUACCACCGAAAAAAGAUAAGACUAGUAGUGGCAAGAAAAUUUACAACAUCUACGCCCACAACAAAUUUGUGUUCUACUCGUGCAAAGAAAAGUACGCAUAGACCUAGCUCUGAUACCACUAUUGGGGAACAUUGCAGAAAAUAAAAAAAUUAUGCGCUUCACCAAGAUCAAUCUAUGGAGUCAUCUAGCAACGAGAGACAGGAGUGCAUCUACAUACCCUUGUAGAUAGCGUGCGGAAGCGUUCAAGACAACGGGGUUGAGGGAGUCGUACUCGUCAUGAUCCAAAUCACCGAAGAUCCUAGUGCUAACGGACAGCACCUCCGUGUUCAACACAUGUACGGUUGGGAAUACGUCUCCUACUUCUUGAUCCAGCAAGGGGGAAGGAGAGGUUGAUGGAGAUCCAGCAGCACGACGGCGUGGUGGUGGAAGUAGCGGCGAUCUCGGCAGGGCUUCACCAAGCUCUACGAGAGGGAGAGGUGUUGCAGAGGGAGAGGGAGGCGCCAGGAGCAGGGGUGCGCAACCCUCCCUCCCCCAUCUUUAUAUAGGGGCCCUGGGGGGCGCCGGCCCCCUAGAGAUUGGAUCUCAAGGGGGGGCGGCCAAGGGGGUGGCUUGCCCCCAAGCCAAGUGGGGCGCCCCCACCCCUAGGGUUUCCAACCCUAGGCGCAGGGGGAGGCCCAAGUGGGGCGCACCAGCCCACCAGGGGUUGGUUCCCCUCCCACUUCAGAUCUUGUGCUAUGCUUAGGAUUGGGUCUUGUCCAUCACAUCAUUCUCCUAAUGAUGUGAUCCCGUUAUCAACGACAUCCAAUGUCCAUAGUCAGGAAACCAUGACUAUCUGUUGAUCAACGAGCUAGUCAACUAGAGGCUCACUAGGGACAUGUUGUGGUCUAUGUAUUCACACGUGUAUUACGAUUUCCGGAUAACACAAUUAUAGCAUGAAUAACAGACAAUUAUCAUGAACAAGGAAAUAUAAUAAUAAUCAUUUUAUUAUUGCCUCUAGGGCAUAUUUCCAACAUACGUUGCUGGUCCUCCCGUGCCUCUGGUGUAUCUUUUGUCUUCCCAUACAUGCCCAAGAAGCCAAGCAGGGUCACGCAAAGAUUCUUCGCCACGUGCAUCACGUCUAUUGAGGAGCGGACCUCUAGAUCUUUCCAAUACGGCAGGGCCCAAAAUAUAGAUUUCUUCUUCCACAUGGGGGCGCGUCCGUCAGCGUCCUUCGGAACAGGUUGUCCGCCAGGACCCUUUCCAAAGAUUACCUUCAAAUCCUUGACCAUAUCAGGUACAUCAGCACCAGUACGGUGGCGAGGCUUCGUCCGAUGAUCCGCCUCACCUUUGAAAUGCUUGCCUUUCUUUCUUACAGGAUGCCUGCUCGGAAGAAAUCGACGAUGUCCCAGGUACACAUUCUUCCUACAACUAAUCAAAUAUAUACUGUCGGUAUCAUCCAAACAGUGCGUGCAUCCGCGAUAUCCCUUGUUUGUCUGUCCUGAAAGGUUACUGAGAGCAGGCCAAUCAUUGAUGGUCACGAACAGCAACGCCUUUAGGUCAAAUUCUUCCUGUCCGUGCUCAUCCCACGCACGUACACCUUUUCCAUUCCACAGCUGUAAUAGUUCUUCAACUAAUGGCCUUAGGUACACAUCAAUGUCGUUGUCGGGUUGCUUAGGGCCUUGGAUGAGCACUGGCAUCAUAAUGAAUUUCCGCUUCAUGCACAACCAAGGAGGAAGAUUAUACAAAUAUAGAGUCACAGGCCAGGUGCUAUGGCUGCUGCUCUGCUCCCCAAAAGGAUUAAUGUCAUCUGUGCUUCGACCAGACCAUACGUUCCUUGGGUCACCUGCAAACUCCUCCCUGUACUUUCUCUUGAUUUUUCUCCACUGCGAACCGUUAGCGGGUACUCUCAACUUUCCGUCUUUCUUACAGUCUUCUCCAUGCCACCACAUUGCUUUCGCAUGCUCUUUGUUUUGGAACAAACGUUUCAACCGUAGUAUUAUAGGAGCAUAACACAUCACCUUGGAAGGAAUCUUCUUCCUGAGGUACUCGCCCUCGACAUCACCAGUGUCAUCGCGACUUAUCUUAUAACACAAUGCACUGCAUACCGGGCAAGCAUUCAAAUCCUCGUACUCACCGCAGUAGAGGAUGCAGUCAUUAGGGCAUGCAUGUAUCUUCUGCACCUCUAACCCUAGAGGGCAGACAACCUUCUUUGCUUCACACGUACUCUCGGUCAAUUCGUUGUCCUUUGGAAGCAUAUUCUUCAUCAUUGCCAGCAACUUCCCAAAUCCCUUGUCAGAUACACCAUUCUCUGCCUUCCAUUGCAGCAAUUCCAGUGUGGUGCCCAACUUUUUUUUUGUCAGCUUUGCCAUUCAGGUACAACAAUUUCUUGUGAUACUCUAACAUGCGCUGCAACUUCUUCUUCUUCAAAUCACUUGCGCAGUUUCUCUUUGCAUCGGCAAUGGCCCGACCUAGAUCAUCAACGGGCUCAUCUAAUGCCUCUUCUUCAGCUUCUUCCCGCAUUGCCGGCUCAGCUUCUUCCCCCAUUGUUGUAUCAUCGUAUUCAGGGAGCCCAUGGCCAGGAUAGCUGUCGUCGUCCUCUUAUUCUUCAUUUGCUUCCAUCAUAACCCCUCUUUCUCCGUGCUUGGUCCAAACAUUAUAGUGGGGCAUGAAACCGGACUCAAAUAGGUGGACGUGAAUGGUUCUUGACGUUGAGUAAUUGUGACCAUUCUUACAGCCAGCACAUGGACAAGGCAUAAAACCAUCCGCCCGCUUGUUUGCCUCUGCGGCAAGUAGAAAAGUGUGCACGCCAUUAAUGUACUCAGGAGAGCAUCGGUCAUCAUACAUCCAUUGUCGGCUCAUCUUCAUUACACAACACCGAAUAGACCAAAUUAAUACAAGUUCAUACAUAAAGUUCAUAUACAACACUUAAUUAAAUGUAACAUACAAAUAACUCUCUAGCUAAAGAAUAUAAAUGCAACAACAAAUGCGAUCAAGAUCGCAACUAAGGUAACAAUUGAUCCAACAGUAUAAUGAUACCAAGCCACACUAUCAAUGGCAUAUAUUCUAAUCUUUCUAAUCUUCAAGAGCAUUUUCCAAUUCCAUCUUCUCCCCCUCAAUUCUUUUCAAUUUUUCUUUCAAAUACUCAUUUUCUCUUUCAACUAAAUUUAACCUCUAGACAAUAGGGUCGGUUGGAAUUUCCGGUUCACAUACCUCCUUGAUAAAAAUAUCAAUGUCAACUUGAUGGUCAUAAUUUGUCAUAAAGAUGAAAUGCAACAACUAGUUUUAAAAGAGAAUAUACCACAUCCGGAUCAUAACAAGGACGAGGGCCGACGGGGACGGAUAUCAAAACCAUGUCACUAUGUAUAACAAACAACGUACGGGUAAGAUAAUUAUACGAGUAACUAUAUAUCCAAAUCACACAAACAUCAAUUUGGUAAUGUAAAACAUUCAUGAACAAGAGCCUCACCACAAGGUGCUGCCGGCGACGGGACGGUGCGGGCGAUCGAAGGUGGUUACGACGGAGAUUUAGAAGCCUAUAAACCACACUCACAUAUGCAAACUAAGUGUUAUUUUUGACCUCAAAUUGCAUAUAAAUCAAAUACUAGCACAUAUAAUUCCUCCCAAAUUACUAAAUGCACAAAUUAAUCACUAUACAAAGCAUUGCAUGAGCUAAUCUAGCAAUGAGAGAUGAAAGGGCAAAGUUGCUAACCUUUGUGAUCAUUUGAAUGGAUGGGGGCCUUCAAAUCUUGACAAAUUUUGGGCAAAAUGUGUGAUGAGCUCGAGGAAGAGAGGGGAAGAACAGAGGAGGGGAGGAAGAACAGAGCGAGCUCGGGUGGACGAAGGGUUUGUGUAGGAUGACCUUUAGUACCGGUUCGUGCCACGAACUGGUACUAAAGGUGCUAGAGGGGCCCCAGACUGACAACAUCAUGCCACCACUCUCUUUAGUACCGGUUCGUGGCACGAACCAGUGCUAAAGGUUCGCCAUGAACCAGUACUAAUGAGAGUGGCUGGCUAGCCGUUGGAACCGGCACUAAUGGACACAUUAGUGCCGGCUCAAAUUCAAACAGACACUAAUGUGCUUCACAUUUGACCCUUUUUCUACUAGUGGGCGCGAGUGCUUCUGUUCAUGGUAUUGGCACGGUCGAUCUGAAGUUUACUUCGGAAAGGAUCGUGCAACUGAAGAACGUGCAGCAUGUCCCCGCCAUCAAGAAGAAUCUGGUUAGUGGUUCCCUUCUAUGUAGAGAAGGGUUUAAAUUGGUAUUCGAGUCUAAUAAAGUAGUUGUUACGAAAUAUGGAUUGUUUUUUGGAAAAGGUUAUGAAUGCGGAGGUCUGUUCCACUUUUCCCUCGCUGAUUUUUGUAAUAAAGUCGUGAACAAUAUUCAUUCGAGUGUUAAUGAAACAGAAGUUUGGCAUUCAUGUCUUUGUCACAUUGGUUUUGGUAGUAUGACGCGGUUGGCAAAAUUGAAUUUAAUCCCAAGUUUCACUUUAGCCGAAGGUUCUAAGUGCCAUUCGUGUGUGCAAGCGAAGCAACCUCGCAAGCCCCAUAAGGCUGCGGAGGAGAAACAUUUGGCACUGUUAGAACUCAUACAUUCUGAUCUUUGUGAGAUGACUGGUGUAUUGACUAAAGGUGGAAAAAGAUACUUCAUGACACUGAUAGAUGAUUCUACUAGAUAUUGCUAUGUAUAUAUUUUAAACACUAAAGAUGAGGCUCUACACUACUUUAAAAUCUAUAAGACAGAAGUUGAGAAUCAACUUGAAAAGAAAAUAAAACGAGUUUAGUCAGAUCGUGGUGGAGAGUAUUUCUCUAAUGAGUUUGAUUCUUUCUGUGUGGAACACGGAAUUAUUCAUGAGAGGACGCGAGUCCCUAUUCACCUCAGACAAAUGGGGUUGCCGAACGGAAAAACCGUACUCUAACAGAUUUGGUUAAUGCCAUGUAUACAUCGGGUUUAUCCAAGGCAUGGUGGGGGGAGGCUAUAUUGACAUCAUGUCAUGUCCUGAAUAAAGUUCCGACAAAAGACAAUGAGAUCACUCCCUAUGAACAAUGGGAAAAGAGAAGAACGACACUCUCAUACUUACGUACUUGGGGCUGCUUGGCGAAAGUCAAUGUGCCAAUCCCCAAAAAGCGUAAGCUUGGACCAAAGACCGUGGACUGCGUUAAUUUGGGCUACGCUAAGAAUAGUGUCGGCUAUAGAUUUCUGGUAGUGAAACCUGAGGUACCUGACGUGAAGGUCGGUACGAUUAUGGAGUCUAAAGAUGCUACAUUCUUUGAGGAUAGUUUUCCUAUGAGAGAUAUGCAAAGCACUUCUAGGCUGGAAUCUGAUGAGACUCCUGAACCUGCCAUUCCGAUGGGAUAUUAUGAACAGACACAUGAUGGAAGUAAUGAGGAGGAUGACAAGGAAACCCUUGGUAGGGGCAAGAGACAUUGGACUACAAACUCUUUUGGUGAUGAUUUUCGUGUAUACCUUGUGGAUGAUACUCCCACUUCUAUUUCAGAAGCUUAUGCCUCUCCGGAUGCUGACUACUGGAAAGAAGCGGUCCGUAGUGAGAUGGACUCCAUCAUGGCUAACGGGACAUGGGAAAUUAUUGAACGCCCCUAUGGCUGUAAACCAUUGGGUUGUAAAUGGGUGUUCAAAAAGAAGCUUAGGCCCGAUGGUACGAUUGAAAAGUACAAGGGUAGGCUUGUGGCCAAGGGCUAUGAUCAAAAAGAAGAGGAAGAUUUCUUCGAUACUUAUUCACCUGUGGCCAGAUUGACUACCAUUCGAGUAAUACUCUCUUUGGCGGCCUCGCAUGGUCUUCUCGUCCACCAGAUGGAUGUUAAGACAACUUUUCUGAAUGGAGCUCAACAAGGAAAUCUACAUGCAACAGCCAGAUGGCUUUGUGAUAGAUGGUCAGGAAGGAAAAGUGUGUACGUUGCUAAAAUCUUUGUAUGGCCUGAAACAAGCACCUAAGCAAUGGCAUAAUAAGUUUAAUACAACUCUGACAUCUGUUGGUUUCGUUGUUAAUGAAGCUGACAAAUGUGUAUACUAUCGUCAUGGUGGGGGCGAAGGAGUUAUACUAUGCUUGUAUGUUGAUGACAUACUGUUAUUCGGAACCAACCUCAAAGUCAUUGAGGAGGUCAAGUUGUUUCUAUCUCAGAACUUUAAGAUGAAAGACCUUGGUGUGGCUGAUGUUAUCUUGAACAUCAAGCUACUGAGAGAUAAUGAGGGUGAGAUUACACUUCUGCAAUCCCAUUAUGUUGAGAAGGUGUUGAGUCGUUUUGGAUAUGCGGAUUGCACGCCAUCUCAAACACCAUAUGAUCCUAGCGUAUUGAUUCGAAAGUCCAAAGGCACAGCUAUAGAUCAAUUAAGAUACUCUCAAAUCAUUGGUUCACUUAUGUACCUAGCGAGUGCUACGAGGCCUGACAUCGCCUUUGCUAUGAGCAAACUGAGUCGGUUUGUUUCAAAACCGGGUGAUGUGCAUUGGCGUGCUGUUGAAAGAGUUAUGCGCUAUCUGAAGGGUACUAUUGUCACACCCUAGCUAGUUCAUGCAUUAGAGUGUUGCAUCAUGUCUAUUCCUUUUAACAGAAACUUGAAAUGGGGAUGACAGAACCCCCAGCCCCCUCUGAACCCAACUAGGGUUUACUAAAAAUAUUUUCAAUGAACCUGAAAUGCCCUUCUAAAAUGUCCAUCAUUUUUGUCUUGGCUCAGAACCUCUGCCAAAAGUGGUGCACAAUUUUCUAGGUCAUCCUAAGGUCUUUGAAUUAAAUCAUAAGUAUUUGAUUUGGACAUUUAAAAUCUAUAAAAUAUUUUAAGUGUCCAAAUAAUCCUAAACUAAAAUGUUCCUUGUUGUUUAUAUUCUAAAUAGUGGGCAUGAGUAGUUUGGGGAUUUUUGGAGUUGCUUAGGUAUUUUUAGAAAGUCCAUAGAGUUAUAGAAGUAAUAGAAAACAUAAAUAAAAAAAGAGAGAGAAGGAACUAACCUGGCAGCCCACCUGGCAAGCCCACCUGCCGGCCCAGCCCAGCCACCGCUCCAGCGAGCUGCUUGGCUCGGCCAGGCAGGCAGCCAGGUGCUCGACGUCGGCACCAGAGCGUGCCACGCAGCUGCCCGCCGCUCUGCUUCCUCCCCUCACCGUUCUGCCGCCCUGGGUCGAUCACCCACUCCUCCCACGAGCUCACAGACACACCUUCUCCUCCCCAUCUCCUCUCCUCGCUCUCCCGCACCAUGGCCGACGCCAUCGUAGCCGCACCGUCGCCGUAGUCGCGCUCUCCGUCGUCCCUGCGCCGCGCCACCGUGUCCAGGAGCUCCGCCGCCCUCCGGUCCUUCGAGCAAGCCGAGCCCCGAGCGCUCGCUUGCCCCGAAGCCACUGCACCGACCUCGUCUGACCCCGCCACCGUCGGAGAUCCCUUUCGCCGUCGCGCUGCACCAGCUCGUCCCCGACCGCGCCGUCUGCUUCCUCGAGACUGCCGUGAGCCUAGCUACCUCCUCCCCCUUUCAUUUCUCGCUCUCGUGCACCACAGCGAGCACACGAAGCUUCAGCGCACGCGCCGCCGCCGAGCUCGUCGCCGACGUGUCUCCGGCCAACCACCGGCCACCCCACCAUGUCCAACACAUUCAUUGCAUCCCCAGGAGCCCAACGCACAUCACCACGAGCCUCAUCGUGUCCCGUAGCCUCGGGUUCGUCUUCACCCGACUCCGGCGACCGCCAAGGUCGUCGCCGGCGAUGUUUCCGGCCACCCCGAGCUCAACCACCACCACCAAGAGCUGCGGCUUGCUCCCAGCUACACGUAGAUGCCCUCUGCCGCUCAUUUGGUCGCCGGAACACACAAACGCACUUCCACCGCCGCGUCUGGCCUCGCCGGUGGCUAAACGCCGACGGGUUUGACCCCGUUGACUUGACUGGGUGGGCCCAGGUUGACUCCCCUGAGUCUACGACAAGUGGCCCCCCUACUAAUUAACCCAGAUUAGUUUUAACUAAAUUUAGUUAGUUAAAUAACUACUGACAUGCGAGACCCACUGGUCAGUUUGACCUGGACCAGCUUCGUUGACCACUGACGUCAUCCUGACGCAGUAAGUUAUUUACUGGAAUUAUUUUUACACAGGAAAUUCCAGAAAAUACCACAAACUUCAAAAAAUCAUAGAAAUUAAUCUGUAGCUCCAAAUGCAAAGUGUUAUAUAUGAAAAAUGAUCAGAAAAGUCCAAUCUAUCAAUCUGUACUGGUUUCAUGCAUGUUUAAAUAAGUUAACCUGCUGUUUAGUACAGAACUAGAUAAAGCACUUAAAAGGGCCACUUAUGAGUUUGAAACUUGAAUCUCUGGUUCAAAAUAGUUCAAACCCAUCUAGUCUUAGUUGCAUUAGCCCAAUACACUCAUUUUGCCAUGUCUCAUGCAUGCAUCAUAUUGUUGCAUAUUGUUUGGUGAUGAUUGUGAAUCGAUGCUCUCUGCGGCAGGUCCUGCCCCUGAGGAGUACCGUGAUUACCCCAACGAAGAACAAUACCAGUGCACCGACCCAUCAGGAAAGCAACCAACCAUUUGAUCAUAUCGAUACAAUCCCAUGUUCUCGCUUCUGCUCUCUUUUACUGCAUUAAGACAACACGAUUCAAACUGCUGUGUGCUAUGAUAGUUGAACCCAUUUCCUCUGCAUGACCUGUCAUUGUCGUAGUACCUAGAUGAAACCCACUAGCAUGUGUAGGAGUUGAUUGAGCCAUGUGUAUGUGUUGUUCCUACCUUGCUAUGCCUGCUAUGCUUAGAGUCGUGUCAGGUCUGGUUCAUCUGGGUGAUGGCUAGAGUGAAAUGAUCAUGCCGGUAAUGAGAGUGAUGUGUUGAACAUGAUUUGGUAAAGGUAUCGAUGAGAGGCCAUGUAGGAGUACAUGGUGGGUUGUUUCAUUGAGGCCGACCUUAAGCACUGAGAUCUAUAUGUGUGAUUUAAGAUUCAGCUACUACCAUGCAUUGGGCCCUGAAAUAUGACCCCGCUCGACUUCUUAUCCACCCUAGUCCUCUGUCCAGGAGUUGCAAGUAGUUUCUGGUGUUUGUAGCCUACUAGAGGCCGUGGACAGCGCUGACCCGCGGGGUGGGCUGUGAUGCGGUAGGUACGUGGCACGGUGUACCGGAUGCCCGUUAGGUAUCUCGGGAACCCUGCACACAUCAUUCGGGGCCGUAUGUGGAAACCUCGGCCGGACUCCCUGUGGAUGGAACCUGAAUAGGCGCUAAACCUGGACUAGAGACUUAGGUGUUUAGGUAGGUCGUGGUCUACACCCUCGUCGGCUUUCGCUUGAAGUCUGCCGAGCACAUGUCGUGUGCAGACGCUAAGUGGUGGAAACAUGUAUGAAGAAGUACACCCAUGUAGGGUUAACAUUAUCUAUUCGAAUAGCCGCGUCCGCGAUAAAGGACUACUUGGUUGCCUAUACAGUUCAUAGACAAGUAAAUGGAAACUACUAAAAGCCUCAAGAUAAGCAUGAGUGCCGAGGAUGGCUCUUCCGUGGGAAGACGGAGGUGGAUCCUCGGUAGUGUAUUGAAGUGGUGAGUAGUGGACUCGUGUGCGCAAAACCAUUUCAAGUUGGAGUCUCGUAGGAUAGCUUAGCCAAGAGUCAAAGCUGGCUUGUUGCAAUAACCCCACCAACCCUUCUUGAUAAUGUGCAUGUAUGUAGGAUCUGAUGUAAGUCUUGCUGAGUACCUUUGUACUCAUGUUGCUUUAAUUUACAUCUUACAGAAGACGCUACAACCCCUUCUGAUGGGUUCUUCGUAGACGUUGACAUCGAUGAGUAGACUGAGGCCCAGGUGGUGAUCCUGAGCUUGUGAAGGACCAUGUAGUAUAGCUAGGCUUCCCCAAGCCUCUUUUAUUUUACUAGUUGUCUGUACUCAGACAAGUUACUUCCGCUAUUGGCUUGUAUGCUUGUAUGACUUGAAUGUGGGUUGUGUGACCCGUACUUGUGUGUAUGCUAUGUAUGGCUCUCUGAGCCUUUAAAUAAAGUACUUGUGUUGUAGAGUCAUGUUGUGAUGCCUUGUUGUAUUUGCACAUAUUGAGCAUAUUGUGUGUAUGAUUGAAAUGCUUGGUAUGUGUGGGAUUUGACUAUCUAGUUGUUUAUCUUUAGUAGCCUCUCUUACCGGGAAAUGUCUCCUAGUGCUUCCACUGAGCCAUGGUAGCUUGCUACUGCUCCGGAACACUUAGGCUGGCCGGCAUGUGUCCUUAUUUGUUCCUGUGUCUGUCCCUUCCGGGAAAUGUCACGCAAUGAAUACCGGAGUCCUGUUAGCCCGCUGCAGUCCGGUUUACCGGAGUCCUGCUAGCCCAGUGCUACAGCCCGGAUUCACUUGCUGAUGACCGACACGUUCGAUGCUGGGUCAUGGAUGCCUGUCCUUGUAAGUCUGUGCCACUUUGGGUUUACGACUAGCCAUGUCAGCCCGGGCUCCUUACCAUAUGGAUGCUAGCGACACUAUCAUAUACGUGUGCCAAAAGGCGCAAACGGUCCCGGGCAAAGGUAAGGCGACACCCAUGGGAAUACCGUGCGUGAGGCCGCAAAGUGAUAUGAGGUGUUACAUGCUAGAUCGAUGUGGCAUUGAGUCGGGGUCCUGACAGCGUUGGUAUCAGAGCCGGACUGCCUGUAGGUUCUCCAAGCCAAACUGGUCGAUGUUGAGUCUAGAAAUGCUUUAGUUAUAUGUAGGGGAAUUGAUUGUGGGAUGAUACGUAAGGCUCUUUUUACUCCUUUACCUCAUGGCAUUCUGAUCUGAGUCAGUCCAUUCUUCCACCGGGAGUUAAGGACUAGGAUCUCUUCUCUCUAUCAGGUUCACGUGUUACUAAUCAGUAGUACCUUAUAGGUUUGAUGAUUAUAAGCCUAGUUCAGUUCUACUGCCCUGUUAUGUUGCUAAGUUGGACCAGAACCUUGAUAUGAUAUUGUUGAGUGUCUAUGCAACUCUUUGCAAAAUGUCUCAAAAUUCUUUUGAGCAUUUACAGCAGUUAUGCUGUCCAAAUUCUGCUAGAAAUUCUAAUGCUUUUGCAUUAUGGUUGUGCUUUCAAAUGGCCACUCGUGCUCAAAACCAAGUGGUUCGCCUGACCCGGUGCCUCGAUGUUCCCGGUCAUACGACUAUGUUAGUCCGGGUAAUGAUCGAGACGGGUUACCGUUGGUAUCCCGAAUACACCGUCGAAGAGCAGUUCCGAGACUUUAAUCAAAGCCAAUAUCUCUGCACUGUCAGGAUAUUUCCCUCUUAUCCUGGAUCUACCGAGCCCCUCCACUGUUCCUAUGGACUUGGGGUUACUAUUGAGAUGGUUGUGCAGGAUGCUGCCUAUUCUAUGAUGACCAUCAUGCGAGUCAGGACUGGCCUGCUUCGGAACACCGACUUCUGUUAUAUGCCUGCUUCACUCCCGGGAGCGCAAGGGUAUCUCCAGGCUAUCUAUGCUGACUCCACACAUGAGAACUCAUUAACUCGCACCACUGCCGAGAUGCUCGAGGAUAAGGACCGAGAGAAUCGGGCCUUGAGACUGGAGCUAUUCAACACCCGUGCCGAUCAUUGGGCCACCUUGACUCGAUUUGCACCGGAUGUGCAAGCUGGAUAUAUGGAUAUGAGAGAUCUGUAUCCUGUUAGAUCUGCUCUGCCAGACAUGAUGGAUUGGCGUGAUGUGGGAGGCAUCACCCCACCUUGUGGUCCCCGCAGGCCACCAUUUGUUGGUCCAAGACCCCAUCCUAGCCCCUAUGGUCCGCAAGCUCCUCGGGGCCAUCUGUUUCGGGAUGCUCACGUUGAACUUCCAGGCUAUGGUGGAGACUUCUAUGAGGACUAUUACGGAGAUGUCUGAGCUAGUAGUAGUUUCACUAGUAUUGUAAUAGUUGUAUUUCCAUCGUCCCGCGUGACCUGUGGAAUAUGACUUAGUGUGUAUCAAUUCCGGAGGUGUAGAAAAAAAUAAUGUAUAGGAGCUUGGAAUGCCUCCGAUGAGAUGUAAUCUUCCUUUCACCGUAGUAGUACUUUGUUUGGUUUUGUACUAAACCUUGUAUGGUGUAUAUUACGAUGGAAUAAAAGAAGCAGUUUCUGUAUCUACCAUGUCAUACGGAUGAUCAUCUUAUAUUCCGAGUUAUCCAUUACAUUCUACAUUUCUAUGUAAGAAUCUUAUCAUCCUGGACUAAACCAUUGUCUAGUUUCCCUAGGAUGGUCAACACCCGCAACAACCCUGCUCCCCCAGAGCAGGCCGAAGGCAGCAGAGUUGGGGAAACAAACCUGCCUCACCCUCCUUCUCUGGCCGAGGUUAUGCUGGAGGCUGAAAGAAAUAAGCGGGAGACCAACCGUUUGUUGGAGCGCAUCGAACAGAACACAGCACACCAUCAGAGGAAUAACUUGGUGUCGCUCGGCGAUUUCAUCAAGUUACACCCACCCAACUUCCACCACUCCGUCGAGCCUCUCGACGCCGAUGACUGGCUUCGCGGCAUUACUCACAAACUAUGUUCUGCACUCGUAGCUGAGGCUGAUAAGGUCACCUUUGCUGCAUAUCAUCUCGAAGGCCCUGCCAGUCUCUGGUGGGAGAACUAUGAAGCUAUGCACCCAGCGGGCCAGGUCACUACUUGGGCUGAAUUCAGCGAGGCUUUCCGUGAACAUCACAUUCCGGAGGGUCUUAUGGACCGUAAACGUGAGGAGUUCUGUAGUUUCACUCAAGGUAGACUCUCUGUAGAUGCCUACAACAGGGAGUUCGGUAACCUUGCACGUUAUGCAACUAAGGAAGUUUCCACCGAUGCCAAGAAGCAGGCAAGGUUCCGCAAGGGACUUAGCCCUGAGCUUCGCCAUGACCUCCGUCUGCAUUAGUGCACAUCUUUUCAGAAGCUUGUAAACAAGGCCAUCAGUGCUGAGUCUGGUCAGACUGAUUACGAAGCAACACGCAACCAUGGCCAUGACUUGGGUUCCUCAUCCGGUGCUGGACCACAGAAGCGCCGGGUGUGGGUGCCUAACACUGCCCUGCCCCCCAGGUUCACACCAAGGCCAUCCUAUCAGGCGCCUCGCCCAGCUCAACAGUAUGCACCAGCCAAGCCCAAUGGUGGUCCAACCAACAAUGCUCCUCCACGCACCAGUUCCGUGACGUGCUUCAAGUGUGGGGAAUCAGGCCACUAUAUGCGCGAGUGUCCCCAGACCAACCCCAGCCAGUCUGCAAAAGUUGUUGGCCGUGGCAAGCUGACAGGGAAAGUGUUCUAUGCCAAGCCGGCCACCACUGCGCGUGGCCAUGUGAAUUAUGUCUCUGCGGAAGAGGCUCGGGAGGAUCCCAACGUCGUUCUCGGUACGCUCCUUGUUAACUGCCACCCGGCAUCUGUUCUUUUCGAUACUGGAGCAUCUCAUUCAUUUAUAUCCAAGAGCUAUGCUCGUCUGCACAACACCACUUUCUGUGAGAUUCCCACCUCCAUGGUAAUUCAAACCCCGGGAUCCAAAUGGCAAACUUCUAGAGUAAGCCAUGGGAAUGAAAUUCAAGUCGACAGACUUGUUUUUCUCGCGUCAUUGAUAGCUCUCAAAUCUUCGGAUAUUAAUAUCAUCUUGGGUAUGGACUGGAUGUCAGCCCAUCAUGCCAAGAUUGAUUGCUUCUCUAGGACUGUCCAACUCACACACCCUUCGGGAAAGAUAGUCAAUGUCUUGACCCGAGUAGCCAAGCGGUAGCUAUAAUCCCUUAAUGCCAGUCCUUUACCAGACCUCGAAGAUGUUCCGGUAGUCCGUGACUUCCCGGAUGUAUUUCCAGAAGAAUUGCCAGGUGUCCCACCUGACAGAGAUGUCGAGUUCAUGAUAGAUCUCAUUCCAGGAACUGUCCCAAUUUCUAGAAGACCCUAUAAGAUGACACCACUAGAACUAGCCGAACUUAAGAAACAACUCGAUGAGUCCUUGAAAAAGGGUUUCAUCCGACCUAGUUCAUCUCCAUGGGCUUGCCCCGUCCUCUUCGUCAAGAAGAAGGAUGGUACGGACCAGAUGGUUGUAGAUUAUCGACCCGUCAACUUGGUCACAAUUAAGAACAAGUAUCCGCUCCCCAGGAUCAACGACCUGUAUGAUCAGCUCGCUGGAUCCUCAGUCUUCUCCAAGAUGGAUUUGAGGUUAGGCUACCAGCAAAUCAAAAUCAGGAACGGGGACAUUCCUAAAACGGCCUUUGUUACUCAUUAUGGCCAAUAAGAGUACACCGUCAUGUCCUUCGAAUUAACCAAUGCUCCAUCCACCUUCUCUCGGUUAAUGAACUCAAUCUUCAUGGAGUAUUUGGAUAAAUUCGUCGUGGUUUACCUCGAUGAUAUACUCAUCUACUCCAAGAACGAGGAAGAACAUGCCGAUCAUCUAAGACUAGUGUUGAUGAAACUUCAAGAGCAUCGCCUUUAUGCCAAGUUCUCUAAAUGCAAAUUUUGGUUGCCAGAAGUGACCUAUCUAGGACAUGUAAUUUCUGGUAAAGUUAUUGUUGUCAAUCCCGAGCAAGUUCAAGCCGUCCUUAAUUGGACUCCACCUGAAUCUUAAGCAAGUUCGGAGUUUCCUUGGCUUAGUGAGCUAUUGUCGUCGCUUUGUCGAGAAUUUCUCCAAAGUUGCUAAACCUCUAACUGAACUCCUCAAGAAAGAUAAAAAGUUCGAGUGGACUCCACAAUGUGAGCACAGUUUUCAGGAACUGAAAAGAUGCCUGACUUCUGCCCCCGUACUGGUACCACCAGACUUCUCCAAGGACUUUGUUAUCUAUUGCGACGCCUCGCGACAAGGACUAGGUUGCAUUCUCAUGCAAGAUCGACACUUAAUUGCUUAUGCUUCACGGCAAUUGCACCCACAUGAGGAAAACUACCCUACUCAUGAUCUAGAGCUUGCAGCUGUAGUCCAUGCACUCAAAACCUGGCGACAUUACCUCCUCGGUAAUCGUUGCGAAAUCUUCACCGAUCACCAAAGUCUGAAGUACAUAUUCACCCAACCGGAUUUGAAUCUCAGGCAAAGAAGUUGGGUCGAGUUGAUCACAGAUUUCGACUUAGGGAUAACUUACACCCCAGGAAAAGCCAAUGUCAUGGCUGAUGCACUAAGUCGUAAAUCUUAUUGUAACAAUUUGAUGUUACAACAAAGUCAACCGCAUCUCCAUGAGGAAUUUCGGAAGGUUAACCUUCACAUCGUUCCUCAAGGAUUCCUUUCCAUCUUGGUGACGAAACCUACUCUUACGGAUCAAAUCAUCGCUGCCCAAAAACGAGAUAAAGGAAUAUCUCGGAUCAAGGAGAACAUUGCUAGUGGAGAUGCUAAAUGUUUCUCUACAAAUGAUCAUGGUGUCGUGUACUUUGAGGACCGUCUAGUGGUUCCCAAGAACCGACAUCUACGGCAGUUGAUCCUUAAGGAAGCUCAUGAAUCUCCUCUCACCAUUCAUCCCGGUACCACUAAGAUGUAUCAGGACCUACGCCAGAGGUUCUGGGGGACUAGGAUGAAGAGAGACAUUGCUCAGUUUGUUGCUAAUUGCGACGUCUGUCGUCGUGUAAAAGCAGAGCAUCAACGGCCUGCUGGCACCCUUGAACCCUUAGCUAUUCCUGAAUGGAAAUGGGACAAAAUUGGUAUGGACUUCAUCACCGGUUUUCCCAGGACCAAGAGAGGGAAUAAUGCUAUCUUCGUUGUUAUCGAUCGUCUUUCUAAAGUGGCCCAUUUCUUGCCUGUUCGCGAGAGUAUAACCGCUAGUCAGUUAGCAGACUUGUAUAUCUCCCAAAUAGUGUCCCUUCAUGGUGUUCCACUGGAAAUUAACUCGGAUCGAGGAAGUCUCUUCACCUCUCGAUUUUGGGAAAGUUUCCAAAAUGCUAUGGGAACCCGCCUUUCCUUUAGCACUGCUUUUCACCCUCAAUCAAGUGGUCAAGUAGAACGCGUCAACCAGAUUCUAGAAGACAUGCUUCGAGCUUCUAUUAUCUCAUUCGGAAUGGGUUGGGAGAAAUGCCUUCCAUUUGCCGAAUUUGCUUAUAACAACAACUAUCAAUCUAGCUUGGGUAAAGCCCCUUUUGAAGUUCUGUAUGGACGAAGGUGUCGAACGCCUCUUAACAGGUCAGAAACCGGGGAAAGACAAUUCUUUGGCCCGGAUAUGAUCCAGGAAGCAGAAGAGCAAGUUCGCAUCAUUCGUGAAAAGUUGAAAACAGCCCAAUCUCGUCAAAAGAGUCAAUAUGACCAAAAACAUAGGGCUAUGACUUUUGAGGUUGACGAGAAGGCUUACCUUCGGGUUACUCCUCUGAAGGGAACCCAUCGUUUCGGUAUCAAAGGCAAAUUGGCUCCUCGCUACAUUGGACCCUUUCGCAUUCUCGCUAAACGAGGAGAAGUUGCCUACCAAUUGGAACUACCUCCGCAUCUCUCCAGAGUCCACGAUGUCUUCCACGUUUCUCAACUCAGGCGUUGCUUCUCGGAUCCUAUCCGUGGAGUGGACCACGAAACGCUUGAUCUUCAAGAUAAUCUCACGUAUCGAGAGUACCCCAUUCGUAUCCUCGAUCAAGCCGAGCGUACCACUCGACGUCAUAAUAUCAAGUUUCUCAAGGUUCAAUGGUCGCACCAUUUGGAGAAGGAAGCAACUUGGGAAAGGGAGGAUCGUCUUCGACUUGAGUAUCCCGCCUUCUUCCCGGAGGAACCUAAAUCUCGGGACAAGAUUCUUUUGAGUGGGGGUGAGUUGUCACACCCUAGCUAGUUCAUGCAUUAGAGUGUUGCAUCAUGUCUAUUCCUUUUAACAGAAACUUGAAAUGGGGAUGACAGAACCCCCAGCCCCCUCUGAACCCAACUAGGGUUUACUAAAAAUAUUUUCAAUGAACCCGAAAUGCCCUUCUAAAAUGUCCAUCAUUUUUGUCUUGGCUCAGAACCUCUGCCAAAAGUGGUGCACAAUUUUCUAGGUCAUCCUAAGGUCUUUGAAUUAAAUCAUAAGUAUUUGAAUUUGGACAUUUAAAAUCUAUAAAAUAUUUUAAGUGUCCAAAUAAUCCUAAACUAAAAUGUUCCUUGUUGUUUAUAUUCUAAACAGUGGGCAUGAGAAGUUUGGGGAUUUUUGGAGUUGCUUAGGUAUUUUUAGAAAGUCCACAAAGUUACAGAAGUAAUAGAAAACAUAAAUAAAAAAAGAGAGAGAGGGAACUAACCUGGCAGCCCACCUGGCAAGCCCACCUACCGGCCCAGCCCAGCCACCACUCCAGCGAGCUGCUUGGCUCGGCCAGGCAGGCAGCCAGGUGCUCGACAUCGGCACCAGAGCAUGCCACGCAGCUGCCCGCCGCUCUGCUUCCUCCCCUCGCCGUUCUACCACCCUGAGUCGAUCACCCACUCCUCCCCCGAGCUCACAGACACGCCCUCUCCUCCCCAGCUCCUCUCCCUCGCUCUCCCGCACCAUGGCCAACGCCGCCGUAGCCGCACCGUCGCCGUAGUCGCGCUCUCCGUCGUCCCUGCGCCGCGCCACCGUGUCUAGGAGUUCCGCCGCCCUCCGCUCCUUUGAGCAAGCCGAGCCCUGAGCGCUCGCGUGCCCCGAAGCCACCGCCGGAGAUCCCUCUCGCCGUCGCCGCCGCACCAGCUCGUCCCCAACCGUGCCGUCUGCUUCCUUGAGACCGAUGUGAGCCUAGCUACCUCCUCCCCCUUUCUUUUCUCGCUCUCGUGCACCACAGCGAGCACACGAAGCUUCACCGCACGCACCGCCGCCGAGCUCAUCACCGACGUGUCUCCGGCCAACCACCGGCCACCCCACCAUGUCCAACACAUUCACUACAUCCCUAGGAGCCCAACGCACCUCACCAUGAGCCUCGACAUGUCCCGUAGCCUCGGGUUCGUCUUCACCUGACUCCGGCGACCGCCAAGGUCGUCGCGGGCGAUGUUUCGGCCACCCCGAGCUCAACCACCACCACCAAGAGUUGCGGCUUGCUCCGAGCUACACGUAGAUGCCCUCCGCCGCUCAUUUGGUCGACGGAACGCACAAACGCACUUCCACCGCCGCGUCUGGCCUCGCCGGCGGCUAAACGCCGGCGGGUUUGACCCCGUUGACUUGACUGGGUGGGCCCAGGUUGACUCCCCUGAGUCUAUGACAAUUGCCCCCCCUGCUAAUUAACCCAGAUUAGUUUUAACUAAAUUUAGUUAGUUAAAUAACUACUGACAUGCGGGACCCACUGGUCAGUUUGACCUGGACCAGCUCCGUUGACCACUGACAUCAUCCUGACGCAGUAAGUUAUUUACUGGAAUUAUUUUUACACAGGAAAUUCCAGAAAAUACCACAAACUUCAAAAAUCAUAGAAAUUAAUCUGUAGCUCCAAAUGCAAAGUGUUAUAUAUGAAAAAUGAUCAGAAAAAUCCAAUCUAUCCAUCUGUACUGGUUUCAUGCAUGUUUAAACAAGUUAACCUGCUGUUUAGUACAGAACUAGAUAAAGCACUUAAAAGGGCCACUUAUGAGUUUGAAACUUGAAUCUCUGGUUCAAAAUAGUUCAAACCCAUCUGGUCUUAGUUGCAUUAGCCCAACACACUCAUUUUGCCAUGUCUCAUGCAUGCAUCAUAUUGUUGCAUAUUGUUUGGUGAUGAUUGUGUAUCGGUGCUCUCUGCGGCAGGUCCUGCCCCCGAGGAGUACCGUGAUUACCUCAACAAAGAACAAUACCAGUGCACCGACCCGUCAGGCAAGCAACCAACCAUUCGAUCAUAUCGAUACAAUCACAUGUUCUCGCUUCUGCUCUCUUUUACUGCAUUAAGACAACGCGAUUCAAACUGUUGUGUGCUACGAUAGUUGAACCCAUUUCCUCUGCAUGACCUGUCAUUGCCGUAGUAACUAGAUGAAACCCACUAGCAUGUGUAGGAGUUGAUUGAGCCAUGUGUAUGUGUUGUUCCUACCUUGCUAUGCCUGCUAUGCUUAGAGUCGUGUCAGUUCUGGUUCAUCUGGGUGAUGGCUAGAGUGAAAUGAUCAUGCCGGUAAUGAGAGUGAUGUGUUGAACAUGAUUUGGUAAAGGUAUCGAUGAGAGGCCAUGUAGGAGUACAUGGUGGGUUGUUUCAUUGAGGCCGACCUUAAGCACUGAGAUCUAUAUGUGUGAUUUAAGAUUCAGCUACUACCAUGCAUUGGGCCCUGAAAUAUGACCCCGCUCGACUUCUUAUCCACCCUAGUCCUCUGUCCAGGAGUUGCAAGUAGUUUCUGGUGUUUGUAGCCUACUGGAGGCCGUGGACAGCGCUGACCCGCGGGGUGGGCUGUGAUGUGGUAGGUACGUGGCAUGGUGUACCGGAUGCCCAUUAGGUAUCUCGGGAACCCUGCACACAUCGUUCGGGGCCGUAUGUGGAAACCUCGGCCGGACUCCCUGCGGAUGGAACCUGAAUAGGCGAUAAACCUGGACUAGAGACUUAGGUGUUUAGGUAGGUCGUGGUCUACACCCUCGUCGGCUUUCGCUUGAAGUCUGUCGAGCACAUGUCGUGUGCAGACGCUAAGUGGUGGAAACAUGUAUGAAGAAGUACACCCAUGUAGGGUUAACAUUAUCUAUUCGAAUAGCCGCGUCUGUGGUAAAGGACUACUUGGUUGCCUAUACAGUUCAUAGACAAGUAAAUGGAAACUACUAAAAGCUUCAAGAUAAGCGUGAGUGCCGAGGAUGGCUCUUCCAUGGGAAGACGGAGGUGGAUCCUCGGUAGUGUAUUGAAGUGUGAGUAGUGGACUCGUGUGCGCAAAACCAUUUCAAGUUGGAGUCUCGUAGGAUAGCUUAGCCAAGAGUCAAAGCUGGCUUGCUGCAAUAACCCCACCAACCCUUCUUGAUAAUGUGCAUGUAUGUAGGAUCUGAUGUAAGUCUUGCUGAGUACCUUUGUACUCAUGUUGCUUUAAUUUACAUUUUACAGAAGACGCUACAACCCCUUCUAACGGGUUCUUCGUAGACGUUGACAUCGAUGAGUAGACUGAGGCCCAGGUGGUGAUCCUGAGCUUGUUAAGGACCAUGUAGUAUAGCUAGGCUUACCCAAGCCUCUUUUAUUUUACUAGUUGUCUGUACUCAGACAAGUUACUUCCGCUGUUGGCUUGUAUGCUUGUAUGACUUGAAUUAGGUCGUGUGACCCGUACUUGUGUGUAUGCUAUGUAUGGCUCUCUGAGCCUUUAAAUAAAGUACUUGUGUUGUAGAGUCAUGUUGUGAUGCCUUGUUGUAUUUGCACAUAUCGAGCAUAUUGUGUGUAUGAUUGAAAUGCUUGGUAUGUGUGGGAUCUGACUAUCUAGUUGUUUAUCCUUAGUAGCCUCUCUUACCGGGAAAUGUCUCCUAGUGCUUGCACUGAGCCAUGGUAGCUUGCUACUGCUCCGGAACACUUAGGCUGGCUGGCAUGUGUCCUUCUUCGUUCCUGUGUCUGUCCCUUCGGGGAAAUGCCAUGCAAUGAAUACCAGAGUCCUGUUAGCCCGCUGCAGCCCGGUUUACCGGAGUCCUGCUAGCCCAGUGCUACAGCCCGGAUUCACUUGCUGAUGACCGACACGUUCGAUGCUGGGUCAUGGAUGCAUGUCCCUGUAAGUCUGUGCCACUUUGGGUUUACGACUAGCCAUGUCAGCUCGGGCUCCUUACCAUAUGGAUGCUAGCGACACUAUCAUAUACGUGUGCCAAAAGGCGCAAACGGUCCCGGGCAAAGGUAAGGCGACACCCGUGGGAAUACCGUGCGUGAGGCCGCAAAGUGAUAUGAGGUGUUACAUGCUAGAUCGAUGUGGCAUUGAGUCGGGGUCCUGACAACUAUGAACUAUGGACUUCACUAUUCCGGAUACCCGUCGGUACAUGAAGGGUAUAGUGACGCGAAUUGGAUCUCUGAUGCUGAUGAGAUGAAGGCCACAGCUGGGUAUAUGUUUACUAUUGAAGGUGACGUUGUUUCCUGGAAGUCUUGCAAGCAAACGAUCUUAACAAGAUCGAUAAUGGAAGCAGAAUUAACAGCAUUAGACACAUCUGGUGUCAAAACAUGAUGGCUUCGAGAUCUUUUGAUGGACUUACCAUUGGUUGAUAAACCGGUUCUGGCUAUCCUUAUGAACUGUGACAAUCAGACUGUCAUAACUAAGGUGAAGAGUUCAAAGGACAACAUGAAGUCCAACAAACACAUAAGAAUGAGACUAAAAGUUGUCAGAAAACUAAGAAACUCUGGAGUGAUAGCGUUGGAGUAUGUCCAACCGGCUAAGAAUCUGGCAGAUCCCUUUAGAAAAGGGCUAUCGCGUGUUGUGAUAGAUAAUGCAUCGAGGGAGAUGGGUAUGAGACCCACAUGAGUUGCCAUGGUGGUAACCCAACCUAUGUGAUCGGAGAUCCCGUGAAGUAGGACUUGGGAAAACAAGCUAGUGGUUAAUUGAGGAGAGUAUUUUCACUAACCCACUCCAUUGGAGAUGCACAACUCUCGGUAACUGUAUGGCAGGUUGACUUUUGUCUUAAUGUGUUUCAAGGCUUAUAAAAGCAAGAUGCUAUCCUACAUAGCGAUCUUUGGAGGAACACACCUAUAUGAGCCUGACUACUGGUCAUAGUCUAUGAGAUUAGAGUGAUCUCUAGUAAGUUCAUGAAAAUGCCAGGAGUGACCAAUAUGCUCCACCCGAGGGGUCAGCCUUCGGCAGCCUAGUAUUGGUAAGACACUUGGUGAAACUCCUUCACUCCAAAUUGACAAUUCAAGGCCUAGUCCAUUGUUCAGUUGUGAAGGAGUAUAGCUUUUUGUUCUAGGUGGAUGUUCAACCUUAACAGGUCUCCAUUGAAAAUACUGGUAUAUCAAAACAGAGUUUGGAACAGAGGGCAACACCAUGGGCCUUCAGGAUCUGGUGGGGGAUUGCUGAAUAUUAGUUGGGCUAAUGGCCCACUUAACAAUUUCGGGAAAAUCCCUAAGGGCCCAUGCUGUCAAGGGAGUGAUGGGAAAUUUAGUCCCACAUGGCUAGUUGAGAGAGAUGUACACCAACUUAUAAGAUGAGCUCUUCUCCCACUAGUAUGAGUUGGUGUGAAGGAAGGAGAGGUGUUCCACACGCGCGCUCCUCCUCCGCCGCCUGCCUCGCCACGCUUAGUCACGACGCGCGCGCGCGUCGCGGGUUGCGGGAAUGAGCUGAGCCGAUGCAAUGUUUUGCCGGUCAAAAUUGGAGAGUCCAUUACAGACACAAACAGAAUAUGAGACGUCAUAUUCAUUGCGGAAAUGGAAACGUCUAUAAUAAAUACGUUUAAUUGUGGAAAUGAAAACAUCUGUAAUUAAACGUGUUUUUAUGGAGAUGAAACAUUCUGUAAUUAAACGCUUUUAUUGCUGGACCGUUCUCCUACCCGACUGGCUAUAGGUAUGAGGCAUCGUAGCUCAGCCAAAAACACAACGCUUCACACCUCCACUGCUCCCUGGUCAUUCCUUUCACUGCUGCUGCCCUCUGUGAUCCCAUCCCGUCUACCGUGUACACAGCUGAUGGGAGAGUAGGCCUCCGAAACCCCGCUUCUCCUGAUCCUGUACGGGAGAGAGGCCAUUAGGUUUUUGGGGAGCGUCUCCUACGCGACUGCUCGCCUCUGUUCAACUACUUCAUCUACGUCGACUACUUCCGCAUCACCUUUGUCUUCACCAUGAGCACUAACGCCGAUCGCGCGGCUGCCGAGAAGGCCGCUGCUGACAAGAGGAUCGCCGACGAGGCUGACGCCUCCGCUGCUGCUACGGCCGACUGGCCUACUGGAGGGUAUAACACAUCUACCCCGCUCGUGUUUACUUUCAUAUGUUCAGUACUAGUAGUUUGCGUAGAUGUUUCUACUAUCGGCCAAGUACGUGCGUACAUUAUCAAAAUUCAGUAUGUCAUGAGCACUGCCUAUGUCAUGUUCAUGAUUUAUUAUUGGAUUAAAUUAAUCGAACAAUUGCUUAAUUUCUCAUCAAAAACAAAUGACUUCAUGUUACUACCUCUACAGCUCACUAAGUCCUUUAUAUCGUGAGCCUUCCCAAAGCAAAAGAUGAAUAGCUUAUCCCUUAUCUUAUUUCUCUCUAGUGGAAUUAUUCAUUCCUACUCCAUGCAUUGUUUGUUUCAUAUCUGCAUGAUAUGGACUGGAAUAUUGUAGGUGUAGGCAUAGGAGGCACCAGGAACUAUCGAUGAACAACGGAUAAUCCAAACAGGUGCGGGAGAGAGAAACAACGCGCACAUCUUCCUCCUACCCUACCGCAUCAGCUAUUUCCGGGUUGGUCACUGAGUGGUAAUAAGUGUACUGGCUAGAUGCACCUAGUUCAGCCUUUUGGUGACUUCCAGUCUAACCAAGGAUCUAAGCUAGUUUCGGUCAAGAGAUCUCCAUACUUCCGUGAUUCAUCGUACUGAUGAAAUUAGAGAUAUACCGACUUGGUGAAUGUUAAAUAUAGAUUUGGCAUGCAAUUACUUUGAAGGCUCAAGUCUCCCUUUAAAAUCAAUAUAUUUAUUUGGUAUCUGCGUCGAUGGGCAGCUACAACAAAAGAGAAUUUGGACAAGCGAAGACUGGGAUGGUUGUAAGAAAAUGCAGGUUUCGUGAUCAAAAUAGAACUAUUAUGCACUUAUUUUUAUCUUGCCCAUUAGCACACUUUUUAAUGAGGUAUAUCGAAUAUGUUUGAACUGAUAUUAUCCAAGUCACAAAUACAUAUGUAAAGUUUUUUUAUGUUGAACUAUCUAAACCGCCACAAUGACAUUAUCCACUGAUGCAUAUGUAGAGCUGAAUUAAUAGGAAUCUCACAUGGACCAACGAGUCAAGAAACUAUGGGCGAGUAGGAAGCAGAUAGGUCUCGGAUGUGUACACUACACAGCAAACUCACGAAAACGCAGAGCUCACAGAUAGAGCAGAUACUGAUUAAUUUCAACGAAUUCACAACAGAGAUCCACUUGGGCUAGCUAGCCCUGACUGAAUACCAGAAUAACAUGGAGCCUGUCUAGGAGCCUUGUGUGUAGCUGUAGUCCCGGUACUAAGCCGUGUUCUGUUUUCUACUGCUGUUUUUCCUUUUCUACUUUCACCUUGCUGUUUGUACUGGAUUCACCAUGUUAUUUAGCUCGUUAGCCCUUUUCUUCUCGAAGAAAAAGCUCAUUAGCCCUUUUAUGUUGGCUAUCUAUGUUUUCUUAGUGUAGAUAUUGAAGAUCAAAACUUUAGUUUUUUUUAGAAAUAUAUUGCUUAUUUAAUGCUCUCAUAGGUCGUAGCAGAGGACAAACAAACUCAGAAACUUCAUCAUUUGUUUCAAGUUCUUGGUGUCUUUGACAUACCCAAGGAAAAACAAGCACAGUAGAUUCAUCACCUUUUUUAAGGUCUCAUAGGCUCUUACCUACCCAAGGACAGACAAACUCAGGAGAUUCAUCAUUUGUAAAGUUCUUAUUGCCUACCUACACGAGGAGAAACCAGCACAAAAAGUUCAUCGUUUGUUUAAGAUUUCAUAUACUCUUACCUACUCAAGGACCAAGCUCAUAACCAAGGAAUCCUUAGUUACUAACCUAACAGAGAACCAACGAGAUCAGGUCAUUACCUGUACCAUGUACCCAGUUCUUCUAUAAGGAGCAGGCCUUCCCUAAGCCAAACAUGAAUAGCUCACUCUUCAUAUGAUUUCUCUGUACUAGAAUUGGUUAUUUCUAUUUCAUGCUUUAUUUAUUUGGUAUCUGCACACCACGGAUUAGAAUCGGAUAGGUGUACGCAUAGGAGGCACCAGGAACUAUAGAUGAUCCAUUGGUAACAAGAACUGCUGCAAUACGCGGACCCUAUGCCUCUCACCCGAACUUCACCACACUGCCCUCAUGUCUCUCACUUCUAACCCACAUCUGAACUAUUUUCCACGCGGUCAUUGACUAGUGAUAAGUAGACCGGCUAGGUGCCUAGGUGAAAGGAUAAUUCUGGUGAAAUCUACUCCCUCUGUUUCUAAAUGUAAGUCUUUGUAGAUAUUCCAUUAUAAACCGCAUACGGAUGUAUAUAGAUGCAUUUUAAGUUUAGAUUCAUCCAUUUUACUCCGUAUGUAGUCCACCUAGUGGAAUCUCUACAAAGACUUAUAUUUAGGAACGGAGGGAGUAUGUAUUCAGGGGUGGCAACGUGGCACGCGGCAUCUGGAGCUGAAACGACCACAGGGGGCGACGAGGCAGCUGCAGGGUGAAGGUUCAUUCUGGCCAGUUGCGUUCGCGUGUCAGCUACAGUCAAAGGUGGUGUAUAUUAGUAUCAUCUAUAGCAAAAUUUUGGGCGUGAUGUAAACUUGUUUGGGCACCAUAUAUACCUAUAGGGCAUCUGCUGGAGCCUUUUUUCGCCCAAAGUGACCCAAAAUGGCAGUUUUUUGGCACGCUGGCUAUUUUGUGUCAUAUUUUGAAGAUGCUCUUAGUAGAUAACUUAAGACUCAAAUCGGGGUGGAGGUGUGCUUUAUGUUGGACUAUUUUAAAUUGUUGCAACGAUACUAUCCAAACCAAUGCAUAUGUAGAGCUGAAUAAUAUCUCACAUGGACCAUCGAGUAAAGGAUCUACUACUACGAGUGAGUAGAAAACAGUAGAAGACGAACAUGUCUCACAUGCGUACACUACACGGGAACGCACGAAAAUGCAAAGAACAUACCAGUGUCUUCCCUUUUUUUAGUGGAAGAACAGAUUAAAUUAACGGAAAAGCUAAAAUCCUGCCGGCAGGAUUUUUGCAACAACAUGGUAUCGAACGCAGCACCUCUUGGUUUCUGGCAGUGCUCCGUAACCACACGGACUAUAUUCAGGUUGUGACCUCAUCUAGGUGUACGUUGUUUUUGUACUUGUAAAACCCAUGACGUGAAUAGUAAACUUCUUUUUCCUUUUUUACACCGAUUUUUCCUACUAUUUUUUCUUCGUUUAAUAGUCAAAUGGCUCAGCUACUCUGUUAGUAUUUUUUUACUACAUUGUGAUAGCUUUGACUAACAAAAUAAAUGUUGAAAUACACCACCGCUUUUGGGUGUAAAUAGUAUGAGAAUUUUAGGCAUCAUAGACCUGAUUACUCAUGUGCAACACCUUGAUAACUUUGGCACGUGGAGGGGGAGGGAGGUGUAGAAACAUACACACGGUAACUUCAUUCUAAAUACUAAUAGCAAGGUAAUUUUUACGUCGCAAGCCUGAUAACUUACAUAAAACAUUUGUGGUAACUUUUUGACCCGGAAAAAAUAGCUGUUGAAACAUACGACGUUUUUCUAAAAAAACAUGGUAAGAGCAUAUACAGUCUGGUGCCUCAAACCGCCCUCAAGCGCCCGGGCUUUCAUUUUUCCAUUUUCUCUCUGUGAAAUACUGCUUGGAUAAAUUAAGAAUUAAAUUCAGUUUCAAGAGAUAAAUCGGAGGGAUAGUAGAUGCAGUUUGUGUCAUGUAGAUGUCCUAUUAUAUUUAUGAAAACACUAAAAUCUGAACCACCCCGAUAACUUCUAUGUAAUAGCAUGUUCGGCUCCAUGGAGUCGAUAACUUGCAUAUAAAUACCCAGGGGUAACUUUAAUCCGGGGAAUAAGUUGUUGAAAAACACCUUGGUAACUUAUUUGUACAUCACAUGGUAAUAUACACAUUGCAGACCAGAUAACUUUGGUACAAAGACCACGUUAACGUUGACCCUUGAAAAAAAAUUGAAAAUGUACUCCGGUAAUAUCUGUGUAAAAUAACAUGGUAAUAUAGGCUCCCGGACCUGAUAACUUAGGCACAAACACCUCGAUAACUUUUGACCCGUGUAAAAUAGUUGUUUGGAAACAUACUUCGAUAACAUCUGUAUAAUAACAUGGUAAUAUAUGCUCCCGGAUAUGAUAACUUAGGUACAAACACCUCGAUAACUUUUGACCCAUGAGAAAAAGUUGUUGAAAACACACUCGGUAGGAUCUGUGUAAAUAACAUGGUAAUAUAUGCACACCAGAGCUGAUACCUUAUUUACCCCAGAUAUGCUAUCUUUUGACACACACAAAAAAAAUUGAAACAUGCCAAAUGGUAUCUAGUUUCGAAGGUCUCGCCGCGGUGGAUUUUUUUUUGUGAAAACAGAUUGUGGUUGAGAUAGGCGAUUCGAGCGACAACACAUUUUGAAAUUUCAAAGCAAAAGAAUCCCCGAUGACAUUAGCUUUUCUGCACUUUUAGUGCAUUUGCAUGUGGGGAGAAAGUUGAAAGAAGUCAUUUUUAUGCCCGAAAUUUGCGUAUGUAAACAUCAUGGUAACCGAUGUGUCAUAUACAUGAUAACUGGUAUACCCUAUGCGUGGUAACUUUUACCUGGGAAAAAAAGUCGUCGGAACAUAUCAAUAUGAGAUCUAGUUUCGAAGUUCUCGCCGCGACGGUUCUUUUAUGUGAAAAUAAUUUUUCGAUCGGAGCGAUGGUUUGGCCUACAAAACAUUUAGCAUUUCUUGAAUCAUGAGGGGAUCUAUAGUGAUGUCAUCAAUUUUGUCUCACAUGCAUGCAUGUAAUUAAACUUUCUAACAAAUGUCAUGCAUCGUACAUGAUGGAGAAAAAAGCAUUAAGUAUCACAUGCAUGUGGAGGAAAACAGAUGCAAUCGCGAGCUAGAUAUGGGCUGCAUGUGGAUCGUCCGGAUCUAUCGCUAUAAUCAGGACGUCUGGAAGUUAGCACUGUCCUUAAAUUAAUUUCAAGGAAUUCACAGUAGAAAUCCAAGCCUUGCCUGAUCUGAUUUUCCUUAUUUCUUAGUUCUUACACACUAUGUAUAACUUUUCGCCACAAACAAGCGCAGAUGUAAGGUAAAUAUCCAUCAGUCUGCUUGUACUUGCUAUCGCCCUGAGUUCUACCUGUCAAAGAAAAUGCAGUUUCAGUUACUGCUCCCAGAUGAUGCAAAGUACUGUAGGUGGGUGCGCCGUGCCACGGGUGUCGGCGUUCUGUAUGAAGUUGCCCAUGACCAUGCGCGCGUCGUGCCUGGCGUCAUCGACUGAUAGCGCCACCACGUUCAUCGACGCGAUGGCCAGCUUGCGCGCCCCCAAUGACUUUGUUGUUGCAUCCGCUGGUGCCUUGACAUCGUCAGAUGUUCCAACUGACCAAGUCUGUCUCUGAAAGAAUGCCUAGGUGCAGCAGUGUUCCUGCCAUCUUCAGAUUUCAUGGAUGGAAUGUAGUUUUGUUUAUAGUUUUGAGAUGCCCCUGCAUGGAUUUUUUUUGUGUGUGUUUUCAUCCCAAAGACUAGCCGAUCUUAUGUUAAGUCUUUUACUCUGGUACAAUCCCUUGGCUUCAAGCAGUUUACUAGUGUGGCAGGUAAGUGCUUUCCUGAAAUUAUAUUCUUGGAUGGAGAGAGCUCUUUGAUCUUCAAGCUGCAUUGCUCAAUUGAUUUACUGAUCAGUGAAAGGUUGUUGCUCCAUCUCUUGAGCCAUCUUCUGGUGGCCUUAUACGUGGCAACAAUGUCUUGGGCGGGGUGGCUAACUGGCUAUACCAAUGUGAAGGAAACCAAUUGCGCCCAGUCAUGCAGCAUGGGUGGAGCCGUAGAGUAACUGAGAUGCUCGUGAUGGUCAUUAGUAGUAUAAUUUGCAAAGCUUGUUUUUCAUGUCUCUCCCUGUCACAUUUUUUUCUCUAUUAUUUUUAUUUAGUGUUCUUCUCAUUUUGUGUCUGCGUGUCAUUUUUUUCAUGUGUGUAUCUAGUUUGUUUGCUUUACUGCGUGUUAUUAGUAGUAAAAUGUGUCAGUCGAUUCUACUCUACUGGGAAUGAGAAGUAGCACCCAAGGCCGAGUCCCGUGAGCCUCGGCCUAAGAUGUGGACGUCGUGGACGGUCAUGGCGAAUCGCCAAUGAGGGAUGGGACAAGAACUUGCCGGAGGCGAGGCAUGGGAGAGAGGGGAGAGAAAUCAGGUUGGAUGCAAUCUCUUAAUUAAAUGAUGAGACAAAUUUUGUGCCUCCGUUUAGGGAAAAAAAGGUUGGACGCAAUCGAAUCAAACAGUGCUUUGUUCGUUCUAAUCCAGAAAACGGUUGGAGGAAGAAAAAACAUAUAUGUUUGUUCACUUUCCGAUCCAACGAUUUGAAUGCAAUUGAUUGAAAUUGGAAAAUUAAGUCGCCUCAGGUUUAGGUGGUCCUUUUCAAUUAGCCAUUGCACAUCAGAUAAUCCCAGAAUAAUUGUGGAAGGUGGUCGUGACAAUGCCAGUUUAAACAACUAUUCAAAUUUAGACAAUGAGAAGGGGAAUCUUUUAGAUUUUUCAUGAAGUUCAAUCCAGAAAAUAAUAAUCAAGAGGACAUCCUAGAGGUGAAACUUAUGACGAUUUAUCUGGCCAAGAGACAUGGACGGUCUAAUUAACACAUUGAGUCAGAAAAUACUAGUAUCAAUUAGGCGAACUUGUACCUCUUUUCUCUCGGCUAAUUGCAUCAUCUUGGUGUAGAGACCGAAGAUCAAUACUUCUAAAAUAAACUUAUGAAAUGUAGUGUUUGUUUAAAGCUCUUGGGGCCUAAUAGACUGACCUAGCCGAGGACGAACAAGCUCAUGGCAUUGAUAUUUUGUUUCAAGUUCUCAUUAUAUCUUUCUUUCUUUUUUUGCGGGUGAAAUUCUCAUUAUAUCUGACCUGCCCGGAGAGAAACAAACAUAACAAAUUUGGUUCUUACUACUCAGGGACCAGCUCAUAACCAAGGAAUUCUUACCUAUUAAAGUGACGGAAAACCAAUGGCUUCAUGUCAUUACCUCUACCAUGCACCAAAGUCUUUUAUAUGGAGUGGGCCUUCCCAAAGCCAAAGAUGAAUAGCUUAUUCCUCGUUUUAUUUCUCUGUAGUGGAAUUAUUGAUUCCUGUUCCGUGCAUUAUUUGUUUCAUAUUUGCAUGCUAGGGACUGGAAUAUUGUAGGUGGGAGCAUAGGAGGCACCAGGAACUAUCGAUGAUCAACGAAUAAUCAAAACAGCAACUCGACAUUGCCCUGCUGCAUCUUCCUCCUACUCUACCAUACUUGCUUUGUCUUAGCCGGUCACUGAUGACAAGUGUACUGGAUGGAUCCACCUAGUGUAGAUUCUAAUUUUAGAUUGGCUGGAUCUAAGCAAGUAUCUGUUGAAUCUUCAUUCUUCUCCCCGCAAAAAAUAAAUAAAUAAUCAUUCUUCUGGAGCCAAAAUUUUGUUGCCCAAAAUGACCCAAAUGUCUGUUUUUGUCAUGGAGGCUAUUUUUGGUUUUAUGUUGGAAAUGCUCUUAGUAGAUAGCUUAAGACUCAAAUCCUGGUGGAGGCGUGGUUUACGUUGGAAUCUUUUAAACUGUCGCAACGACAUUAUCCAACCAUGUGUAGAGCUGAGUAAUACUAUGACUCGCACAUGGACCAUUGAGUCAAGGAUCUACUACUACGAGCGAGUAGAAAAUAGUAGACAGACGAACAGGUCUCACAUGGUUAUUACUACUCCCUCCGUUCACUUUUGUAAGUCGUUUCAGACAACUAAAAAUGGGAUGUUUUGUAUGAUGUCUGAAAUUUCUUCAGCGCCUUAUAAAAGUGAACAGAGAGAGUAGUAAAAUUUGCAAAGCUUGUUUUUCAUGUCUCUCCUUAUACAUUUUUUUAUCUUUUCUUUUUAUUUAGUUUUCUUCUCUUUUUAUGUCCGCGUGUCAUUUUUCUCAUGUGUGUAUCUGGUUUGCUUUGCUUUACUACGUGUUGUUUAGUAGUAAAAUGUGUCGGUCGAUUAUAAUCUACUGGGAACAAGAAGUAGCACCCAAGGCCGAGUCGGGUGAGCCUCGGCCUAAGAUGUGGACGGUCAGGGCGCCGGCAAUGAGGGAUCAGACGAGAACUUGCUGGAGGCGGGGCACGGGAGAUAGGGGAGAGAAAUCAGGUUGGAUGCAAUCUCUUAUAAUUAAAUGAUGAGGCAAUGCCCCCGUUUGGGGGGGGGGGGGGAGGUUGGAUCCGAUCGAAUCAAACUGUGCUUUGUUAGUUCUAAUCCAGAAAACUGUUGGAGGAAGAAGAAACAUAUCUGGCGGUUUGUUUUCCGAUCCAACGAUUUGAAUGCAAUUGAUUGAAAUUGGAAACAAUUAAGUCGCCUCAGAUUUAGGUGGUCCUUUUUAAUUUGCCGUUGCAUAUCAGAUAAUCCCAGAGUAAUUGUGAAAGGUGGUCGUGAUUGUGCCAGUUCAAACACAUUCCUGAAGUCGGAGCUGCAGAGGAGGUGACUCUGCGGUGACGAUGACACGAGACGGAUGCUCGGUUCCGGUGCCGGCUCAACGCAGGCCCAGUGCUUUUCCCUUGCAAUGCUCGUCGACAGAGUCGGAGCUGCCUGGUCGUCAGCGCGUGUGGUGGACUGUUUGGCAUCGACCGACACAGGCCUUGGCGCUUGAGCGGUGACGGCUUCAUCGGUGGUCGUUGAAGGUGGAGUCGCCCUCGCGGAGGAGUGAUGACGAUGACACCGGAUUGCAAUCUCGACGGCGUGUGUGCGUUCUUGUGUGGGUUGCCAGGUCGCCCUGUUUGCCUUGUUUUUGCGGGCAUGUUGUGACGGUUUUCGCCUGGUUUUCCGUUAAUUAAUUGGGCAACUCUCUUCGACAUUUUUUAAUGAAUCAGGCCCUAAGGGACCGCGUUUCAAAAAAAUGGACAAUGAGGAGAAGGGGAAUCUUUUGAGAUUUUCCCGAAAGUUCAGUCCCCAAAAUCGUUAUAAAAUAAACUAUGAAAUGUAGUGUUUGUUUAAAGCUCUUGUAGCCUAAUAGACUGACCGUGCCGAGGACAAACAAGCUGAGGGCAUUAAUCUUUUGUUCGAAGUUCUCAUUGUAUCUGACGUACCCGGAGAGAAACAAGCACAACACCAAGGAAUUCUUACCUAUUAAAGUGACGGAAAACCAAUGGCUUCAUGUCACUACCUCUACCAUGCACCAAAGUCUUUUAUAUGGAGUGAGCCUUCCCAAAGCUAAAGAUGAAUAGCUUAUUCCUCGUCAUAUCUCUUUAGUGGAAUUAUUGAUUUAUUCCGUGCAUUAUUUGUUUCAUAUUUGUACACUAGGGACUGGAAUAUUGCAGGCGUAGGCAUAGGAGGCACCAGGAACUAUCGAUGAUCAGCGGAUAAUCAAAACAGCAGCUGGACGCAGCCCCGCUGCAUCUUCCUCCUACUCUACCAUACCAGCCAGUACUGCCUGGAACCACCUAGUGCAGAUUCUUGAUGAUGAUCAGCCUAAGCAAGUCUCGGUUGAAUCUUCAUUCUUCUGGUCUUUUUCUUUUUCUUUUGAAGCCUAUAUAUGCCGACUUAGUGAAUGUUAAAUAUAACUUUCACAUUAAAUUUAUUUGAAAGCUCAACCUUCCCUUUGAAAAUCUUUAUUCGGUAUCGACGUUGAGGAGUGGCUUUAACAAAUAGGACAAGCUAAAAUUAGAAUGGUUAUAAGAAAAUGCAGGUUCUGCGAUCAAGAUGGAAAUACUAUGCAUCUGUUUUUAUCUUCUCAUUUGCACGCUUUUACGUUGGACUAUUCAAAACCGUCGCAAUGACAUUAUCCAAACCAAUGCAUAUUUAGAGCUGAACAGGCAUCUCAGAUGGACCAAUGAGUCAAGAGACUAUGGAUGGGUAGGAAAACAGUAGACAGGCAGACAGUUCUCAGAUGCAUACACAAACACACGAAAACGCAGAGCCCACAGCAAGAACAGGUGCAGAUUAAUUCCAACGAAUUCGCUGGCAGAAAUCCACCUUGGCUAGCUAGCCCUGACUGAAUACCAGAAUAACAAGGAGGGUAAACCAUAGACCGGAUUAUGGCAAUAGGAAAAGGAAUCAACGAUUCAAGAAACU